rnacentral:lncRNA from 1 species
UGGCUCUUUUGACGCUUUCUUCAAACCUUUUUUUCACUUUUACAAGACUGCAACCUACAAGCCGCUUCUGCCGUGGAAAAUCGCAGGGUGUUCGCAUUUCUGGUCCAGUCCAAUGCACGGGUGGGGCUAAAACUAGUAGCCAAACAGCUGUGAUUGUGAGGCGAACUGCAAACUUCCAACCUUCAAUUUGGGAUUAUGAUUAUAUCCAGUCACUAACGAGUGAUUAUGUGGUAGGUGUUAGCUUUUAGUACUAUUGUUCAUUAAUGGACUCAACUUGAUUUUUUGAGGGAUAUAGUGUCUUAUAUGCAGGGACAAACGUACACAAGACAAUUGGAGAAGCUUAAGGGAGAUGUAAAGAUGAUGCUUGGCGAAGCCGAGAAACUUUUGCAUCAACUGGAGCUAAUUGAUACCUUGCAAAGGCUUGGAAUACACUAUCACUUUGGGGAAGAAAUAAGGAGGAUAUUGCAUGGCAUAUACAACAACUACAAUAGGAAUGAAGAUUUUCUAGCAUCUUUUUAGGAACCUUUCUCACCAAACUAAAUAGGAAAAAUAUUAAUAAAUCUGAGAGAAUAAUUGUGACAGAUGAGAGAAUGCAGAUCAGAAUUACAAAUCCAUUCCAUUUAUUAAAAAUAUAAAUGGGAAUAAAAAUUUUAUUUUCAUGUAAAUCAAAGCUUAUCCUUAUUAAUUUUGAUUCUUAGUUGUUUUUGUUGGAGUAAUAGCAUUGAAAGAAGGAUAAAAACAAUUACCUAAAGAAAGAUAAAUAAUUAAUUAAAAAGAAUUUAAAGUUUUAUUGUCUUUCAUCACUCUUUUCUAAAUAUUAUACAAUAUUUUAUUUAUAAAUACUCAUGGCUAACUAUAGGCGCAAAUUUAUGAAAUCCUACAGAAAAUAAAUAAAAUAAAAUAAAACAACAAAAAAAAAUGCCAAUAAAAUUAUUUGUAUUAGAAUAAUGCGAGGUACAGUUCUCCAUGCUCUUUAUGAAUACUAUUUUUCUAUAAUUUGAUUGUCCAGAUCAUAAUCCAGAUGACGAUGAUGUGCAUAUUUCCUUGGGAUCGAAGUUUAAUAUUAACGGUCUUGUAUGGCUUAUUUCCGGUGACUUUGUUGACUUUUUUAUGAUGAUUGAGAGCACAUCUAUACAUUGCGUGUUCCAUGAAUUUGUCAUCAUCAAGUGAUUUAUUAUUUGAUGAUUACAUAAUCUUGGAAGACUCAAUCUAGCCCCAAAACUAAAGAGAUCCAUUUUCACAUGAACUCUAAAAUGGUUCUCUGCUAGAAGUACAAUAGGACAAAGUAACCAUGGUGACAAAUUUAGAAAAAAAAACACAAUAUGGUAACCAAAGAGUCAAUGAAACAAAUGACUGAAUGGAACAAAUCAGUCACUUUAGAUGAUUAAGAAAAAGCUAGGAAAUGAUGAUUCAGUUCCUUUUUUAUUUUGCUCUUUUGGUAUAAUUUUAUAUUUGCCACGGUUAGGACCUAACCAUCUGAUACAAUUGAAUAAAAGCAACUAUCAAACCAGAAAUCUUUGACAACUUUCUAGACCAGGGGAAUGGGCUCAAUUAGUAACGAUAAUACACGAUCCUUGGUUUCUCGAUCUUGAACACCAUGCCCAUCUCCAUACUGGUACAUGCAUUGGGCCAUCCUAGCGAGGUUUAUUGCAAUUCCGAUAAAAGUCUGGGAGAAGGGAGAUUCCAUAACUCGAUCUUCAUUCAUCUUCUUCCAUGUCUCCCCAAUCAAGCAUUUUAUGUGUUCUCGAGCGUCUUCUUCAGAAGCACCAGUUUCAUGCAUGUAACAUUGUAUGGAUUUAGGAACAUCUCCUCGUUUUAGUUCAUCCUGAGGCAAUGAAUAAAAGAACCGUUAUAAUUUGUUGUUCAGUCUUGAAAUCAAAGCAAUCUUUACCGUACAUGUUAAUCAAAAUGAGAAAGAGAGGAAAAAUGCAUACCGAUGAAGUUCCAAGAUCAUCUGAAAGGCGUAAAAUGAUUGAUGACCAGCGGAUUAUAUUGCAAUAUUGCUCCACGCAUUCCAAAGCGUCCUCGGUUAUUGGAUUUGUAACAAAAAAGAACGCAUGAACUAGUAUUGUUGGUGCUGAUAUUGAAAUCCAUGCAUUACUAAGGUACUCUUGCAGGGUUGGUGUAUAUCGGGCGUGGUACCACUUCGCCUCCAGUAAGUAAGACUUACAUAAAUCUGCCCACUGAAGGAUUAAGAAUUGUAAAAUGAGUCCAUAAUAAACAGAAGACAGAAAAUUUCAUGAAAUUUAAUUCAAAGAGUACUGACACGAGUUUGGAAUCCAAAACAUUACCGCUUUUCUAAGAUAUGCGAUGAUGUGGGAACCUUGCUCCUUAAGAAGGUCAUAAGCCAUUUCAUUGGUCGAGUUGUAGAGAGCAAGGAAACAUAUCUUCAUAUAUUCUGGAAGUUGAUCCAUUGCAUUGAUAUCCCAUCUGAACAUAUAUGAAAACAAAAUAUUUGAGGUUUUAUUAUGCGGGUAUGUUGGAGUUAACAUGCAUAUAUCUGAAGUAUACAACAUAGAGGAGAUCCACUGCCACCAACCUGUCAACAGCAUCUGUAAAGAGUUCAAGUUCCUCCAAUGUUCCAUAAACGUCAUAAACAUCAUCUAUUGUUGUUAUCAGUGCAUUUACUUUCGUCAACAUUCUCCUACAAUAUCCAAACUGAGGCUCAAAUAUCACCCCCACAGUCCACAAGAAAUUCUCCAUCAACCUGUCCCUCGCAAAGCUCAGCUUUUCUCCAAGACGUGUGCUUCUCCACCACCUAUAAAAAUAUAAUGUCCACAGUAUUAGAAUAUGAUAAGUUGUAGUUGGUUAUGUCUGAAAUAAUAUAAUGUGAAUAUGCACAUUUGCUCUUACCUGGACGCAUACUUCAGAUCCUCUUGGUGCUUCGCUUGCACCAUAUUAUAAUCUAACUUUGCAAACUCAAGCAAGAUGGGGUUCAUGUCCUGUCUUCUCUCAUAUGCAUCUAUGAACCACCUUGCCUCUAACCUUAGCAUUCUCCAAUGCAGUGGAAGCUCCAAAGCAUGACUCACUAGUAUGGCAAGAUUUUCAUCUAUAUUUUGCCGCAGACAUCCUUCAAGAUGUUUUUUUGUGAAAUCCCUAGCUUCUUCCAAGAUACUUUCACCUUCUAUGGAAAGGUAGGAAGCUUCAUACAAACACAGAAUUCCCUGAAUAUCUUCAGAAAGGCAUGCCUUAAAGCCCCCCAUCUCAUCCUUGAAACUACUAAAAACAUCUGCAAUAAAAAAUGCUCAUUUUUUAGCAGUUAUAGAGACAAAGUCAAAUAAAGACGUUUACUGCUAGCAAAGAAUUAGUUAAGAUCUCUAAAAUGCCUUAGGAUGCAGUACUUCAUCUUUCUGUACCAAAAAUGAAGAUAUUACUGAUAUACCUUGAGGAAUGCUAUACCCAUUUUGUCUUAGAAUUCUAAAUUCAAGAGCUGUGGCAUGCAAAUUCUCUUUCUUCCACUUGUCAUCAAUGUUAUGAUUGCAGUAUAUGCUGUUCAACAGUCUCUUGAUUUCAUCUUCGAACUGGUAAGAUAUUCCAAGUCUUUGCAAGAGAUCGAUCAGCUCAAGUUGAUCCAAAGGCUUCUCCACCUUUCCCAGCAUCAUUUUCACCUCCCUCUUUAGUUGGUCGAAUCUUCCUAUGCAUGUUUCUCCCUGCACAUAUAACAACACAUUGAUAUGCAACAUCAAGCUAAAAAACGACUACAAACAUUGCUAAGAAUAAUGAAUAGCUACCGUAUAAUCACUUCUUAGUGACUGGACAUAGUCGUAGUCCCAAAUGGGAGCUUGGUAAUUUGCAGUUCGCCGUACAGUGGUUUCAUAAGAAGGUCUAUUGACAACCACGCAUUGUACCGGAUGAGCAGGCUUGCCACUAAUGGAUUUUCCCAUCCAAAAAUCCCUUCUAGGUGGCAGUAAGCUAUAACUUAGAAUAGAGGUUGAAGAAAGCAUGAAAAGAGCCAUUGAGAAGAACUUAGCGAGAGCAAGCUGUAGAUGAUUGUUUGGGUUGUACUGGGUUCCACAUUGACAUCAAACUUCACCCUUUAUAUAGAACAUGAUAUAAGCAAGAGGCGUGCACAAGGUCAGUUGUUGAGCCUUGCCACCAAAUUCACAUGUAUAAUGUGUGUUUAUCGUUUAUUUAUUUUUUAUGCUGUAUUGUAUAUUCAAAUAUGGGGUGGUUGUUAGGAUCUUUCUAUUUAUCCUAAAAGUCGCAAUCUCUGCCGAUCACCAACCUUUGUUUAUAUAUUAAUUUGUCUUUAUUUCAGUGGAGCUCUCGGGAGGCGUCCAUAGAUUGAUUUAUAAAAUGACAUGUGUAAUAAGUGGGACUAAACUAGAUUCGGUGAUGAGAUCUUGUCAAGAAUUAAAAUAUCAAAUAUUACAAAAACAUGUCGGGAGUUGAAUUUAUGAAAAUAUCAGAAAAAAUUUUAGAGAAAAAAAUAUUAAUAUGAUAAAAAAAGGUAUUGGAAGCCUAGAUGAGUUGAACCAGUCCAAUCCAACAAAUUAUUUUUAAAAUAUUUAAAUCUUUAUACUGUCUAGAUUCUCAACAAAAAUGUCAAAAAACAUGUCUACAUUCUGUAAUGAGAUCUUAUCAAGAAUUAAAAUAUCAAAUAUUACAUAAAAUAUCAAAUAUUACAAAAACAUGUCCGUGGUUGAAUUUACGAAAAUGUCAAAAAAAAAAAUUAGAGAAAAAAAUAUUAGUAAAAUAAAAUUGAUCAAAAAUGCAUUUGUUCGAGUUUGGAUGCUCAGAUGAGUUGACCUAGUCCAAUCCAACAAAAAUUGAGAAUUGAGGGAGUUAAAACCAUAUGGAAACUCCCAUUAUGUAAUCAUAAAAAAGAAAAAGAAAAAAACACGUUCUCUCUCUCACUCUCUUUCUCUCUCUUUAAGAAAAGCAUAAAAAAAACAUGUUUCUAUAAUAAGUUAUUUCUCUUGAAUUUAUUUGAGAAUGAAAGUUAAGACAUUUGUGUUGUAGAAAUAGAGUGAUUAUUAAUUUAUGUAAUUUCAUUUAUGACUUGGGAUAGAGAAUUCGAUAAUGAAACAAUCAAUCUAAAUUUUGGGCAUUUCAAAAGGCAAUCCGAAGCCUUAUUUCCAUCCGUAGUAACAAAAAAAAAAAAAAAAGCCUUUAAUAACUAGAAAACAAAUAACAAUACACUUAAUUAAAUUAUUUUAUUAAAUAAUUAUAUACAUAUAUAUAUAUAUAUAUAUAUAUAUAUGAUGAAAUUUAUAGUAUUUCAUGAAAAUAUUUAAAACUUGAUUUUAUUUGUAUAAAAAAGACAAAACAAAUCAUUGAGAAUAUUACAAGAAUGACUUCCUAUUUUUAAUUACCAGUCAAAUAAAAUAAUUCAAAUUUAUUAAUUCAUUAAAAUUAUAUUUCAAUAUUUAAUUUUUAUAUGAAAAUACAUAAAAUCAGUAUAUAUAAAAUAUUUAGAAUAUAUUUCAUAAGAGUAGCUUUGUCAAGUAGAAAUGGGUCAUACUACUGUAGAUUUUUAAUUCAGGAUCUAUAUUUAUUUGCACUUGUGAUGUAUAUAUUAUUGAUUGAAAGGACCAAUGCAAAAUGAACUCAUGCAUCCCUAGAAUAUCUCUUUUGACAAAUAUAUUGCUAAUUCGAUUUUAUAGAUAUAUCGGGAUAUAUUGAGGAAUAACGUGGAUAUUUUAACAUAAAAUAUUCAUAGGGUAAAAAUUAAUCAAAACUCAUGAGAAUAUUGAGAAAAACUCUAAAAAUGAUUGUAGACCCCCAUUAGGCGAAGGUUUUUGUUAUUUUAUUCUUCUGACCACCCCAAGAAUUAAGCUGCAUGAGGCGGCCAGAUGGGACAGAAAAGCAAGUAGAGAGACUUGCCAAGGAAGAUAGAAACAGGGGGAAGGACGGGAGUUUUUUUUUUGUGGGGGGGAGACAGGUCUUCUCGUUGCUGUAGAGAGGGGGGAACCAGAGCUGAGUAUUUUUCUGGGGAGAGAAUAGUGAGCGGCAUCCCAAGACACCGAGUCGAGAGGAGGUUUUCAGGUGCGGUUAUUGCAGUUUUCCCGUAUGUUUUCAUUUUUGACAUCUCUUAUAUCUCAUUCUCCGUGAUUUCCGCUCUGUUUCAUUUUGAUAUCUCUUAUAUCCCAUUCUCUGUGAUUUUCUGCUCUGCUUGUUGGGUUGCUAUACUUUAAGGUUUUUUUAGUUUAAUAUUUGAAGAACUGGCUGUUUUUUUUUUAAUAUCCUAGCCCAGCACUCUUGCCAAAUGUGCAGGGUAUUCCCCCACAUGCAUGCAUGCAUGGCUAUUUUAAACCUUCAAAUCUCACCACCCUCUCAAGAAUCUAUGCAAACCCGUCACCAUGCCAUUAAACCCAUUGCCUUCCAUCAUCUCCAUGCGUUCAUGGCUAUCAUGGACACUGCGGCCAUGGCGGAGGACCUCACAGCCACCAUGCACACAACGGAAAGUGGCCUCAUGGACGCGACAUCUGUUAUGGUGAGGGACGUCAUGGACUUGGGGGAGUAGCUCUCGGCGGCGCCGGUGGUGGCAGUUGUGGUCAUCCAGGUCUUGGAGGGGCACGACAAGGGACACACCGGCGGGGUAAAAAAAAUGCAAAUGGGGGGAAGGGCAGUGCAUUCACGAAGAUGGGUGUUAGUUGGGCCUAAGUUGGAUGGUGCAGCUCAAGCCCAUGAGUAACCUUUAAGAGCCUCUUUUCAUUUUAGGCCCAGCCCGAUGGUGAAAUUUCAUUGACUUUUGGGCUUGUUUAUGCACUUGGGCUUGGCCACUUUGGCAUGCAAUGGUCAGCCUUUAAGAGCCCCUUUCCAUUUUGGGCCCAGCCCAAUAGUGUAAUCUCAAUGCCCUUAGGCCUGUUUACGCACCUGUGCAUGGCCCCUUAUCCCACAUGACAAAUUUAAAAGUCUCAAAAUUUCAGUUUUCAGAUAAUUAAUCAUUGUUAUUUUAUUUACUUAAAUAUUUGUUUAUUUAAAAAUUCAACCUUCAAAUAAUGCUUCAAAAUUUCGAUCUUUAAAAUUCAAUUCCAAUUUCCGAAAAUUCUCAUACUCACUUUAAUUUAUUUAAUCACUAAUAUUUUAUUUAUUUAUUUUAAGAUUCUAUUUUAAACAAUUCUUUAAAAUUCCCGACUUUCAAAUUUAAUUUCUAAUUCCAAAAUUCCAAUAUUCACAUUAAUCUAUUUAAUUAUUAUUAUUUUGAUUAUUUAUUCUAAAAUUCCAUUUUAAACAAUUCGUUAAAAUUUCUGAUUUUCGAAUUAAAUUCAUAAUCCCAAAAAUUCUCAUAUUCUCAUUAAUUUAUUUAAUCAUUAGUAUUUUAUCUCCAUUUUAAAUCAAUUCUUUAAAACUUCAGAUUUACAAAUUAAAUUCCUAAUCCUGAAAAUUCUCAUAUUCACAUUAAGUUAAUCACUAAUAGUUUAUUUAUUCAUUCUAAAAUUCUAUUUCAAACAUUUCUUUAAAAUUUCCGACUUCCGAAUUUAAUUUCCAAUUUCAAAAAAAUUCCAAUAUUCCCAUUUAUUCAAUCAUUAUUUUCGUCCUUAUAUUAUUAUUCCAUUUAUUUAUUUAUUUAUUUUAAAAUUCGAUUUUUAAACAGUUUUUUCAAAGUUCCAAUUUCUGAACUUAAUUUCCGAUUUCCAAAAUUCUAAUUUCUUUCAAAUUUAAUAUCCAAAAUUUCAAAUCUUAAAUCUAAUUCUCAAGACUCCAAUCUUCAAAUAAUUUUCGAGACUCCAAUUUUCAAAUGAAUUUCAAAAAUCAAAUUUUCCCCUUGAACUGUUUUAUUUCCACUCGGGUUCUCAAAUAAACCUUCUAUUCUUCUUGGUUUUUAUAUAAGCAUUAAUGUGAUUCUCGCAAUUCCAAGAUAAUGGAAUUUGUGAGACUAAUUCAUGCAAAAAUAAAUCGGGCUUUGGUGGGGGCCUAACAUAUGUGAUUUCCUUAUGAUUGAUUGAUUGUUUGUUUGAUUUAAUUGUCAUGCAUGAUCGAUUUUAUUUUGCUCUAUUACAUGCUUGAAAUUAUUCCUUAAUUGUGCGCUAACCUCAUUUCUUGAUAGCGCUUUAUGGAUCACUGCCCAGGUACGCAUCCACACCCGCUCGGGUCAUUUUCUGUAUGCAUGUUUAGAUUCCCAUGUGUGCAUGAUCAUUCAGGAUAUUAAUUGAUUUACUCAUUAAUUGCCACGUCAGUUUCAUUUUAUUAGUAGAGACCCGACUUUAGGGACUUAGAGGGGUGCUAUGGUCUUUACCGUACCUUCCCAAUAAGUAACCUGACCCCCGAGCCCAAUCCGAUUUUUCGUAGACCACCUUUUCCAUAUAAGGAGUCAUACUUAGGGUUUUUCUUUCUUAUUUUGUUUGCCUUUUUAAAAAUAAAACAAAAAUAAGUGGCGAUUCCAAGUCAUUUUUUUCUUAAUCAAUAAAAUCAUUUUUCAAAAUAAAAAUCGAGCUCGCCAUCGAGUGGGAAACGCAUGAGUCGAAAUGCGGGGUCCACAAUGAUAUAAUAAGUUAUAUCAAAUAUUAUUUAAUAAUAAUAUCGUGACAUUUAAUUAUAAUAUGUUUAGUUUUAAAAUAUAUUUAAUAUUAAAGCUAUGAUCUAUUUAAUUUAAUUGUAAUUAAUGAUAUAAAAUAAAUAUUGAUAUAUGUAUAAUUUUUUUAAUAUUUAAUUAAUAUGUUAAUGAUAAAAAAAAUCUAUGAAGAAAAUUAUUAUAAUAAUUUUUAUAUUUUUGUUAAUCAAUUAAAUGAAAAAUGUUCAUUUAAUUAUAAAAUAGUUAUAAUUAAUUUAUUGAUUAAAAUAUAUUUUUAAUAUUUUGUUUUUAUGAUGACUUAUGGUCUAGUAUUCAUCUAAGGCCAAACUUUUGUCUUGAUUGCAAUCCCGAAAUAUUGGCGAAAACUCGGCAAAUGAAACUUUGCUAUUGAUUGCAUAUGGAAUGCUGUUCCAAAAGCUGCCGAAUACCAUAUUGAAAAAGAUGCCCCAUGCUGUACAUGUGUUUUUUGCACCCAAUACUUUAUUGAGUCAUUGAACGUGAUCAUAAUCUGGGCCCAGUCAUGAUUCACUCUGACCUUGUGUUAUUCCUAUCGCUAUCUUAAGGUGAGAAAAGAAAACUUGUUUUAAUAAUGAUGCUUAAUUAAUUUGAGUGUGAUGUGGGAGGAUCAUAUCAUUUCAGUGUUUAUCAAAGAUAAAGGUGAUUUUAAGUAGCUUUAUUGAUAUUAUUGAAUCAAUUAAAUUACCAAUUGUGUGAUUAGAAAGAAUCAUAAACCAUAGGAGAAACAAUAUCUGGGGUUCUUAUUAUGAUUACUUGAAAAAUAAAUAUAAUACGAAUAGAAUUGAAAUAGGUUUAUAAUCAAAGAAAAUAAAGAGGAAAAUAUUAAUUCAUCUAUACUCCUAAAUAAUAAUAAUAAUAAUUCUAAUAUAGAAAACAAAUAAUUAUAUAAUUGUAAAACAAAAAAACGCAUUUUUCAAAAUGAUAAUGAGUGAAGUGUCAAUCAAUUUUAAUAUAUUUGAUCUUUUCAUAAAGACAAAGUUGUGUAUAAUAAUCAAAAUAACACUUUUGUCAUCACAUUACAUAUGAGUGAAGCAAAAAAGAGAAAUACUCAUAUUAGCCGACUGACAUAGGAGUGAGAUAAGAAAAAGAAAUACCCACCUCAAGUGGUUGACAUAAAAGUGUGACAAGAAAGAGAAACACUCAUAUAAACAAAUAAACAAUGUAACCAAACUGCUUCAUUGGUGGUAGACAUCAUAUUAUGAUACUUAGCUUGUAUGGAAGAUCAAGAAAUGAUAGUCAAUUUCUUGCUCUUCUAAGAAAUAAGAGAAUCACCCUAAAAUAUAUAAAAUUUAGUGAUAGACUUGCAAUCUUUGGGAUCACUAGCCUAGUUAGCAUCAACAUAUGCAUGCAAUUCUAAAGAGGAAGUGGACAAAAGUAAAAGAUUUUUAAAUAAAACACCUCGGAGAUACUGUUGAAUAAGAAGAACAACAACCCAAGGAAUUGUAGUAAGAGAAGCAAUUUGACUAAUAAUGUUAACAACAUAAGCGAUGUUCAGAUAUGUAAUAGUAAGAUAGACUAAGUUGCCAACAAUAGUACAAUAUAAAGUAAGACUUGACAAAGGGUCAGUUACCAUUAAAAGAAGAAUAUUGAACAUUAACCUUCAGAGGAGUAUCAAUAGUCUUAGUAUUAGUAAGUCAAGCAUGAUCAAGAAUAUAGACUAUAUACUUAGAUUGUGAGAUAAGAUAACCUUUCAAAAAAGAAGCUACCCCAAUAUCCAAAAAGUAUCGUAAAGAAUGCAAAUCCUUCAUUUAAAAAAUUAAUAAUUAGCCUAAUCUAGAAACUUUGUUCACUACUCCUGUGCAACCUUGCAAAUUAUCAAAGCGCCCUUAUACAUAAGAGUGAACCUAGAGUCAAUUCAACCCUUAUAAACCAUGUCAUCAUGGUAUAUGAGCUUAGAGGAGGAACCAUUGGGACCCAUAGAAUUCUGAGGGAAUAUUGACUUGCUCAAAAUUCAAUUUUAAAAUUAAUUCAAUAUUUCACUAAAAAAAAUCAACUGCACUUUAUUAUCCUAUGUAAAUAAAAACGAUACGAAGUUUAGGUUUGUAACUUACUAUCCGCUAUAUGCAAACUCUUCAUGAAUUGAUAUUCAUAAUUUAACAAGGGAGUGUUAUCACCUAUCAAGAUUACCUCUCCAAUCCUUGAGUUACAAAUCUCACUUAUUUUGUGAUAAAAUGACAUACUCUAGUUCAUAAAGAGCAUAUGUCAAAUUCACUUAAGGAAUUAUUACAACGCCACAAAUUUCAUGAUCACAUGUCCUUUGGAUUACCUAAGAGGACAUAUUAUCUCAAUCUCAUGAGAUAUCAUGUUACCUCUAUUGAGAAUACAUGUUGCCACUAGCCUCCAUUAAUAAUGAGGGGAUAUUGACCACUUUAAGAUUUCAUUCAUAGGUUACAGCCUUCUAUUGAUUUUGGCAUAGACUUGAUAUCCUCUUAGAGUUGAGAAUCCAUACAGUAUAGUUGUUAGCAACUUAGAUCUAAGCAACGGAAGUAAUACUAAUUUAAAAAAAAAUGACCUUUUAAGAUUAAAGUAUUAGGAUACGAUAAGUUGUAUUUGGCUGUAUCUGAAAUAAUAUAAUGUGAAUAUGCACAUUUGCUCUUACCUGGAAGCAUACUUUAGAUCCUCCUGGUGCUUUGCUUGCACCAUAUUGUAAUCUAAUUUUGCAAACUCAAGCAAGAUGGGGUUCAUGUCCUGUGUUCUCUCAAAUGCAUCUAUGAACCACCUUGCCUCUAACCUUAGCAUUCUCCAAUGCAGUGGAAGCUCCAAAGCAUUGCUCACCAGUAUGGCAAGAUUUUCGUCUAUAUUUUGCUGUAGACAUGCUUCAAGAUGUUUUUUUGUGAAGCCCCUAGCUUCUUCUAAGGUACUUUCACAUUCUAUGGAAAGGUAGGAAGCUUCAUACAAACACAGAAUUCCCUGGAUAUCUUCAGAAAGGCAAGCCUUAAAGCCCCCAUCUCAUCCUUGAAACUACUAAAUACAUCUGCAAUAAAAAAUGCUCAUUUUUUAGCUGUUAUAGAGACAAAGUCAAAUAAAGACCUUUACUGCUAGCAAAGAAUUAGUUAAGAUCUCUAAAAUGCCUUAGGCUGCAGUACUUCAUCUUUCUGUACCAAAAAUGAAGAAAUUACUGAUACACCUUGAGGAAUGCAAUACCCAUGUUGUCUUAGAAUUCUAAAUUCAAGAGCUGUAGCAUGUAAAUUCUCUUUCUUCCACUCAUCAUCCAUGUUAUAAUUGCAGUAUAUGCUGUUCAACAGUCUCUUGAUUUCAUCCUCGAACUGGUAAGAUAUUCCAAGUCUUUGCGAGAGAUCGAUCAGCUCAAGUUGAUCCAAAGGCUUCUCCACCUUUCCCAGCAUCAUUUUCACCUCCCUCGUUAGUGUAUCAAAUCUUCCUAUGCAUGUUUUUCCCUGCACAUAUAACAAUAUAUUCAUAUGCAACAUCAAGCUAAAAAACGAUUAUAAACACAUUGCUAAGAAUAAUGAAUAGCUACCCUAUAAUCACUUCUUAGUGACUGGACAUAGUCGUAGUCCCAAAUGGGGGCUUGAUAAUUUGCAGUUCGCCCAAUAGCAGUUUCAUAAGAAGCUCUGUUGACAACUAUGCUUUGUACCGGAUGAGCAGCCUUGCCACUAAAGGAUUUUCGCAGCCAAAAAUCCCUUCUAGGUGGCAGUAUAGCAUUCCUGAGAACAGGGGGUUUAAGAAAGCGUGAAAAGAGCCAUUGAGGAGAACUUAGCAAGAGCGAGCUGUAGAUGAUUGUUUGGGUUGUACUGGAUUCCAUGGACAUCAAGCUCUACCCUUUAUAUAGAAUGUGAUAUAAGCAGGUGGUGUGCGAAAGGUCAGAUGUUUAGCCUUGCCACUAAAAUCGCAUGUACAAUACAUGUGUUUAUCCUCUACUUUUUUAUGUUGUAUUGUAUAUUCAAAUAUGGGGUGGUUCUUACACUCUUUUCUAUUUAUCUUAAAAGUUGCCAUCUCUGCCCAUAUGUGGCAAGAUCACCCCCUAGAUCGGAUCCGCACUAGUCAAUGUCACCAAAGUGAAAAUGCAGAAGCGGAAUUUCAAUAAUAUUUUAAUAGAAAGAUGUUUGAUGGCACAUGGAAUACUGUUUCAAAAGCUGCCGAAUACUUUAGUGAAAGCCAUGCCAGGUACAUACCUUAAGAAGAUUUUAUAUUGGGAGCAUGCUACCACACAAUUAAGUGUAAUAUCAUUAUUUAUUGAGUCAUUCAACGUGAUCAAGAUAUGGACAUGGGUCUAGGUAUGAUUACUUAACAUAAAAUAUUGGUAAGGCGAUUCACUAUGACUAAAUGUUAUCCCUGUCGCUACCUUAAGAAACGAGAACUUGUUCUAAUCAUGCUUAGAUUAAUUUGAGUGUGAUAUUGUAGGAGGAUUAGACCAUUUCAGUGUAUAUCCAAGACAAAGGUGACUUUAAGCAGCUUUAUUGAUAUUAUUGAAUUAAUUAAAUUACCAAUUGUGAGAUUAGAAAAAAUCAUAAACAAAGGGAGAAAAAAAAUCUAGGGUUCAUAUUAUGAUUACUUGAAAAAUAAGUACUACACAAAUUGGAUUUAAAUAGAUUUACAAUCAAAGAAAAUAAAAAGGAAAAUAUUAAUUCAUCCAUACUCUUAAAAAGAAAGAAAAUAAUUUUAAUGUAGAAAAUAAAUAACUCUAACAUCUCUAUGGGAACUUAUGAUGGAACUAGAAAAAGCUUCAAGAAUUUGUCAUACUCUCAAUCCUUCAUAUUUCAUGAGAAUAAACAUAUGUCAAGUUCAAAUUCUCGUAAAACUUGACUUGAAAAGUUAUCUUUUUCUUAUUCAUAGCUUCAUUCCUUUUGCAAUUACAUCUAUCCUUGUGCCAAUAAGUACGUUUAGUUGCAAAUAGAAUCUUAAUCAUCUUGUUACUCUUAACCUAAAAUACUAUACUUUAUUUCAAGAGUUAGACUUAAAUGAAUAAUAUUUAUUGCUCUUACUUCUAAUUCUUUUCAUCCAUAUAGCUCUCUAUUUUUAUUUUUUUUGCCUUAUAAUGCUUUGAGAAGUCCUUAUUGCUCCAAAAUACCUUUUAUAGUACUUUAUCAUAUACUAAAAUGUUUUUUCUAUUAAAGGGCUCAAUAUCAUAUUUUAAACUUGAUAUUGUUUUCAAAAUAAUUUUUCUCAUGAGCUUUUUCGCCAUGACUUUGAUACCACUUAUUGGAAAGAACAUAACACCCAAACAUAAUAGAAAAAAUAAAAUGAAAAAUAUAAAACAAAAUAUUUAUGUAGUUCGGUGUAAUCACAUGUCCAUGAAAAAAGAAAAUCAAAUUUAUUAUAUACUUCUAGAAUAUACACUCUAAACUCUUUGAAUUUUUUUCUAACCAAAACCCAACACACCCUUUGUUUAUCUCUGUUCACUCUUUUCUUACCCUUUUUUUUUUGUCUCUAUAAAUCCUAUAUUAAACCGUAUAUUUAUAAAGUCUUAUGGAUUAAUCCUAAAUCAAUAGUUUCCUAAAUCCGGUUAAACUUAUAAAGGUAAUUUGUUAAAAUACAAAUUUUAUAAAUAUUGACUUUCUUAAAAAUAAAAAUAAAUAACUUGAGCCAAAUCUAAACUAUUUUAAGUAGAAAUACACAGAAGGUAUGACAUGUUAAAAUCCCCUCACCUUUUUUUUUCUCAUCUUGGAAGUUCUAGUGAAGUAACAAAAUAGUCAAAUGUUUGGCCAUCUCCAUAUGGCUCUCUUCUAGUUUUGAUUUAUUACGGAGGCAUUAAUUAUUUCACAAAAUGAUUUUCAUGUAUUCAUACGUUUUUUACUAAUGAGCAUGAGGAUUAUGAUGUAAGGUUUCUCUUGUUAGUCCAUGUUUAAUAUGCAUUUUCAUUUUAAUAUUUAUGAAAAAGGAAAGGUUUUUCCUAUUUCUCACCUUAUAUAAGUAAUCGAUGUUUUGAAAAGUGAAAGAGAUCAAAAACUAAAGUACUUGGUCAUAGCUAAAAAUAAUUAUAAAACAUUAAAGUUAUAUAUAAAUAAUAAAAAACUUAAAGUUGUUUCAUUUUUUUUACCUUGAAUAUUUAUAUUUAAAUUAUAAUAAAAAUAAAUGUUUUGAUUUUUGAUAUUCUAGAUUCACUUUUCCCACUUCCGGAGUAUUAAAAUAAAAGGUAAUACUUUUUAAAAAUCCCUAAAUAUUACGUUUUAUUCAUAAACACUUUUGUUGUACUUAGAUCUAGAUUCAUAGGAAGAUUAGAUGUCUACAACCUUAUGAUCCAAGGCCAUAAUGGAUUUUUUUUGCAAGUAUUCCUACCACAAGGUCUAAGGUUUGGUGAAUAGUAUGUUUGAGAUUUGAUGUUAGUAUUGGAAGAUAUACUUAAGGUUGUGUUGGCUCAAGAUUUGAUGGGUUAAGAAGUAAACUUGAAAUUUUGUGUUGCCCUACGAAGCACACCUGAUGGGAUUAAGAUUUGGUAUAACUUAAACUACAUAAAGAGGAUUGAUUUAGAUUACAUUUGAUAGUAAUUCUAGAAAAUAUUUUAAACGUUUUUAAUUUUUUUAACACUUAAAUGAUACAAAAUUUUAAGUAUUAGAAAGAUUAAAAAUGCUUUCUAAAAUCAAUGUCAAACGAGUUCUUAGAGUCGGUUUGAUAGUAAUUAUAAAAAGUAUUUCUAAUUUUUUUUAUACUUAAAAGCUUUUAUUUUUUAAAUAUUAAAAAUAUUAAAAACACUUUAUAAAAUUAAUAUCAAACGCACUAUUAAUAUCAGUUGUAGUCAAAUGAUUUGUGGAUCAUAGUUCUAGGAAAUGAUUACUAGAGAAGGCCUUAGAUUUGGCCACUUGUGUAGUUUUCAACUAAACUCACAUGUUUCUAUGUGAGUUUAUUUAUUUAUUUAUUAUUAUUAUUAUUAUUAUUAUGUUGUUGUUGUAUCAUCGUAUAAUCAGAUAUGAGGUGUUUAUUACACUGUUAUUGUUUGUGCAUAAAGCUCUAUACAUUUAUUUGUUUUUGUUUUAGUGGAACUUUAAGGGGGUGUCCAUAAAUUCAUUUAUAGAAUGGAAUGUGUAAACAGUGGCUUUAUCCUUUAACUUUUUGCUUAUAAUAUAAGGUUGGUAUAAUUUUACUGAAGGUCAACCAUAUACAAGUGAUCACUAGCAUAUUUGACUCUCCAAUAAAUUAGAUUCAAUUCUUAUUACUUUCAUCUCUAAAUUAUUGAUUUGUGAAGUUUGAAUUAGUUUUAUUGCAACCAAACAUUUUUGUCUUCUAAUUUAUUUGAUUCCCAACAAAAUUAAAUUUAGAUUUCUAUGAAUUUAUCGUUCAAAAAAUGAAAAUAACAAUACCAAAAUCAUAAAAUUUGGAAGAUAUAUAUUUCACUGCAAAAUUUUAAAAUUCAAUCUUUUAUUGCACAACAAAAUUGAAAUAAUCGAUUCUAAUGAAUUUUUGUAAUUAAAACCUCAUGACAUAAUUUAAACUCUUCUAAAUAUCCACUAGAAUCAACAAUUUUAGUUCUUUUUGAAAAAUAAAAAUUAGAAUUUUAUAUUAUUUUUCCAAUUAAAAAAAUGUUAAGAAAUUAAUAUCAACAAUAAAACUCACAUUUAAUUCACAAAUCCAUAAAUCUGAAUAAAUUUUAAAUAGAAACAAAUGUUGAAUUAAAAAAUCUUCUAAUAUUUUCCUAGCAAUCAAAUAUAAUUGGAAAUUCCAAUUAUUGUCAAAUUACCAAUUUUCUAACUAAUAUUGUGAAGUAUCUAAAAAUAUGUUUUACUAUUCUUUUUUUUUUCAAUUGAUUAGUUUUCAAAUUAAAUUAAAAAAUAUGAUAAUUAAUUUUAUAUGUAUUUUUAACAUGAAAAAAAUAUUAUUGUACAUUCAUAAAUGAAUAAAGACAAACUAUUUAAGACUUAAUAAUAUUCAAUCAUUAAAAAAAAAUAAUGAUAUAAAUACUUAAUGAUAUUCAACUCUUUUUAGAUUUAAGUGAAACUCAAGUUUAUUCAUAUUUUAAAUAAAAAAUAAAUAAACACUGCCUAAGUUCCAUAUGAGAGGUGAAUGCAUUUAAGUGGGAUUUUAAUCCAUUUGAGCACUGCAAAAUAAGUUUACUAGUUUUAAUUAAAUUGAAAUUGAUUAAGCCAAUGCUAUGACUAGGUCAUACAAGUGUUAAAUCUGGUUUCUACUUCAAUUAAGUCUUAAAAAUUGAGGUGAGGUCUAUGCAUUAGUAUGAAGAGUUUAACACUUAAUUUGCAUUAAGUGUUCGAAACUAUAACACACCUCCACAUCAUAGUUUUAAUUUUGAGGAUUUGGGUUUGUUUUUAGGCUUUAGGCUUUAAUUGGAUUCUCCAUUUGAGUUUAGGCCUGAGUUUGGGUUCAUGUGCUCUACUCCUUGGGUUGUAAUUUGCCUCACUUGUGUUUGGGCCUUUAGACCAUUGCAUUUGAGCUUCUAUUAUUGAUAUUGGGCUCAUUGGAUUGGAGUUGGACAUUAGAUAUUCUUUUGGGCCAUCUUUUAUUUGAUUUUUGGGCCUAUUUUGCUUUUUCUCUUGGGUCUAGAGUAUUGAUUGUUUGAUUUGGGCUUCUGUUUUUUAUUUGUUUGGGCUUACGUACGACUGACUUUGGCUGUAUUUUUACUCUUUACAUGGGCCCAUCCGUGGACUGAGAUUUGCGAAAGAAAAAAAGGUUGGAAGCUAUAAAAGGGCCAAAAAAAAAAAAAAAAAACAAAAAAAAAACAAAAAAAAGAAGAAAAAACCAUAGGGCACAAGGGGUGGGCCCAUGUAUUUUUCUACUUUUUAAAAAUAAAAACCAUAAAAAUACUAUUUAAGAUAAAAUUACAAAAUCUUUUUAAAUAAAAUGGUAAAAUCCUUUUUCUUUAAUAAAGUUGUAUAACCUAUGAAUGAAAAUAGGAACCCUUUUUUAAAAAUCAUAUUUUUUUUAUAAAAUUAUAUAUAUACAUACAUACAUAUAUAUAUAUAUAUAUAUAUAUAUAUAUAUAUAUAUAUAUAUAUAUAUAUAUAUAUAUAUAUAUAUUCUUAAAAAAUAAUAAAAUUCAAAUUCUCUUUUCAACAAAAAUAGGGAUAAAAUCUCUCUUUUUUUAAAAUGUUUUCUUUAUAUAAUUUUGAAAUUGUUUUACUUAAAAAUAAUAAAUUUAUUAUUUUAAAAAAAAAUUGAAAUAAUUUGUAUCAAUUGUAGAGCUUUUAUUUUAUUUUAUUUUAUUUUAUUUAUAAAAUUGAAGAAAUUUCUUGAAAUAAAAUAAAGUUAAAAUUAUUUUGUAAUAUAACUUUUCUAAUAAAAUUAAAAAAAAAAUCACUUUUCUAAAAUUGGUAUAUGAUUGAAUAGCUAUACAAUUGACAAAAUUUUAGAAGACUUUUUAUGGGGAUGGAAAGAAAAUAUUUUAAAAUAGGAAAUUUUUUUUAUUAGAAUAUUACUUUGAAAAGAAAUUAGGAAAAAUUAAAGAUUUAGAAAACUAAUUUCAAGUCUCAUGACAAUGCAUGAACAUGUUUCACCUUAAAGCAAACGAUGUGUAAAUCAAAAUUAGUACUACUAAAUUGGUCAUCAAAAAAUUUGAAUUUGACAGGUGAUAUGCCAUAUACCUUAAACAUAUAUUAGACAAUUUAAGAGGUGACAUGGAGCAAAAUUUUGAAGGCUAAAAAAUCAAGUUUGAAAAUAAUAAUAAUAAUAUGUAGAUGCAAAAGAGAAUUAAAAAGGAAACAUGGUUUUUAUCAAUAAAUUUCUUAAAUGAAAGAAGGGAAUCAAAUUUCUUGCAUUGAGCAAUCAAAUUUAGGAAUAUGAAACUCAAUUCCCAUGUUCCGUGUAUAUGUAAAGGUUAUAUUUUUCAAUUCAAAUACGAUUUGAAAGCUAAAAUACAAGGGCCCUUACGAGUCACAUCAAGUACCAAUACAUGCCCUUCACCACCUUGAAGGGUCAACAAAGUCAUUACGGGGGUCUUUUGUGAAAGUAAAUCAAAUAUCAUACACAUUCUUUCCAGCAUCAUAAAAAAUCAAUAAAGUCACUUGGGAAUAAAUCAAUAAAAUCAAGAAUAGUAGUAGUAGGAAUAAAUCAAAUAUUAUACACAUUCUUUCCACCAUCAUACACAUUCUUUCUUAUUAAACUUCAAUCCCAAAAAAAUGCUUGUAUCAUUAUCUUUGGAUUAUAAUCUAAAUGAUCAAAUUAAAGAAAAAUAUUAUUUUGUAAAGAUUAUUAUCGCAAAAGAUUGUACCUCCCAUUAAUUUAAUACAAACAAUAUUGUUCAUAUAUUUUUCUUGUUAUUUUACUUACGACUUCAAAAAUGUAAAUAUAAUAUUAUUUAUUCAAUGAUCCAAAUUAAAUCAUUCAAUUAUACAUAUUCAGUCAUUUAAAUUCAUUUAUUAAAACCUUCAUAAAUCAUAGAGGACAAUAAUUCAAUGAAAAAAGGUCCAUGGAGAGACAUGAAUAUGGUGAUAAUAACUCCUAAUUUUGUCAUAUAGUACAUGACAUUUCAAAAGGCAAUGAUCGCUAAAUUGAUAAAAUCAUACGCUAAGUUAGUUCCAUAAUCUUGACCAAUUCCUAUAACUUAACCAACAUGCAAUCUAAUUUGUUACAUAGUAAAACAUGUGUGAGUUCCCAAUUUUACCCUUUUUACAUAGUUGAUCUACUAUCCUAAAAUAAAGAGCUUGAAUUCUAUUAGCAAACUUUCAGAUAUUUUUGAGUAAUUUGGAUCACUAAAAUAUUUGGGAUGUAUUUGGUUUUUUGCAUUGAACAAAAAAACUACAAUAAGUAAAUAAAUAAAAAGGAAAAAAAAUGAAUGAAUUCAUUUGAAUUGGUUAUAAGAACAAAAAAUAAGAAUAUUUUUUUGAAUAAAACAUGGAUGAUUUAGACAUAUAAGUUAAAAUAAUUAUCAAAUUAUAAAAAUGUUUUUUUAAAAAAUUUUAUUAAGAAAUAAUUCUUUUUGAACACUUUUACUUCUUUAUUUUGUAUUUCUUUAAAAAUAUCAUCUUUCCACUUAUUUUAUUUAUUUCAACAAAAAACAACUUAAAAAUCUCACACAAAAAAAAAAAAAGAAGAUAACUACAAAAGCCUUAACAAAAAAUACAACAAACAAUUGAAAGAUCUUGAAAAAAAGAAAGAAAUAUGAGAAAAUUGGGAUUGAUUUUUUAUCUAUUUAUGGGUUUGAACUUCAUUGAAAAAUUCACUAGAAGAAGGGAGAGGGCAUGGAGAGAACUAGGUAUAAAAAAUGAGAGAGACAAGAUAUUUAUAAGUAAAUUGAGUCAUGAAUGAUAUUAUAUGUGUUCUAAAAUAUUAUACAUAUUUAUAAUUUCUGAGGUCAAAAUGAUGAUGAUGAUGAUAAUAAUAAUAAUAAUAAUUGUUUCAAUAAGAUAUGCUCAAAAUAUUUGGUUCUAUUUAUUAAAUAAAGAAAUUAUAAUAAAUGAAAGAAAAUUAAUAAGAGGGUGUUUGAUAAAUGAUGAUUAAAUGUUCUAAUACCAACUUAAAUCACUGAAUUUAUUUAAUAAAAGAUAUUUAACUAAUCAUUUAAAACUAAACACUAACACCGUAAGUAAGGUGAUUUUUUUUAAAUCUAAUAAUUUUUUAUUUUUUAUUUAUAUAUUUUAAAAUAAAUAUUUUAUUGUUUAAGCCAUUUAUUUUUUUUAUUUAUGAAAUUUAUGUUUUUUUUUUAAAUAAAAAUUGGUUCCCUUACUUAAUGAUGAGGAGCUAUAAAAAAUACUCUAUGUUCAUCUACAAUUUCGACAAUUCUUAUAACUCAACUAACAUGUAAGUAACCAUCUCCAAACUAUCAAAUUACAUAAAUAUAUAAGCAAAUAUACUAAAUGGCAAAAAUGUUUCAAUUUUUAGUUUUAGAUUCUUAGAGCUAGUAUAAGAUAAACUAGUGCUAAUCUUUUGCUAAUUUUAACCCUUUUCCAUGGAAGAAAUAAUAAUAAUAAUAUACUUUUGAAUUUUCUAAAUUUAUCUUUGAAAUGCUUGGCCCAAUAAUUUUGAUAUUUUCAAACAUUUGACUAAAUUCAAAUGGAUUACUUUUUUUUUUUUUUCAACUCAUGUAAAUCACUUUAGAAAAUAAAGUUUGACUUAAUGCAACAUUAUUUUUAAAAUAAAUUGUUGUUGAAAAAGAAAAAUAUUUUGGUCUUAGUUUUUGUGUACCAUGAUGAUAACUCCUAAUUUUGUCAUUAAGUACAUCAUCUUUCCUUGCACAUUAUCAUGAGAACUCCUAAUUUCUUCAUAUGGUAUAUCGUAUUUCAAAGAAUUCCUAGUUGUACCUUUUUAAUACGGUACACCAUUAACUUUCACAAUUUAUCUACAUGUUACAAUAUUUUUCCUAAUUUUUACCUUUUCCAUGGAAUAAAUAAUAAUAAUAUGCUUUUACAUGUUCUAAUUGUACCUUUGAAAUGCUUUGCCUAAUAAUUUUGAUAUUUUCAAAAGUUUGACUAAAUUCAAAUAGAUUACUUUUUUUCUUAUUUUUUUCAACUCAUAUAAAUCAUUUUAGAAAACGAAGUGUAACUCAAUGUAACAUUAUUUUCAAAAUAAUUAUUUUCUCUUGAAAAAGACAUAUUUUGGGCCUUAGUUUUUGUAUACCAUCAUGAUAACUCCUAAUUUUGUCAUACAUAGUACAUCAUAUUUUCUUGCAUAUUCUCAUGAUAAUUCCUAAUUCCUUCCUGUGGUAUAUCGCAUUUUAAAGAAUUCCUAGUUGUACCUUCUUCAUAGGGUAUGUCAUUAACUUUCACAAUCUAUCCCAUGUUACAGUAUUUUUGCUAAUUUUUACCUUUUUCCAUGGAAGAAACAAUAAUAAUAUGCUUUUGGAUCUUCUAAUUGUAUCUUUGAAAUGCUUCUCUCAAUAAUUUUGAUAUUUUCAAAAGUUUGAUUUAAUUCAAAUAGACUAUUUUUCACUUUUUUUUUCAACUCCUAUAAAUCAUUUUAGAAAAUAAAAUGUAACUCAAUGUAACAUUAUUUUCAAAAUAAUUUGUUCUUAAAAAAGAUAGAUAUUUUGGGCUUUAGUUUUUGUGUACCAUAACUUUUAAUAGCGUACACAACUUUCGUAUUUCUUUGCAUACUGUGAUGAAAACUCUUAAUUUCUUUACAUGAUACAUCAUUUCUCAAAAGAAUUGAUACCUACACACUCUUAAUUAUAUAAUUCUUAUAAUGAUGAGAUUUUGAAGUUGAAAGAGUAUUGGGUAUAAAAAUUUUAAUUACUUAUACUUAUUUUUUAAAUAAAGAAUGCUUAAAACAUAAUUAGAAGCAACGAUAACAAUAUUUUUUAUAAUAAUAACAUGCAAAAUUGUAUGAUAAAGUUAAGAUUAACCACUCCACUCAAAUAGUGCAUGCUUUUAGUCCCUUAAUAAGUUAUUAAAAUCAAUAAUGUUUUCAGAAUUGACCCAUUACUAAAUUGAAAAAGUUACCAGAACGAGUCCAUGACUCAUUGUUUGGAUUGGUGAUUGAAUCACGAUCAAAUAGAUAACAUCCUAAAUAUAUAAUAUAAAUAUAUUAUUAAAUGAAUAAAAUGAUUCAAAUCAAAAUUCAAAAUUUCUAAAUAUAUAAUAUAAAUAUAUUAUUAAAUGAAUAAAAUGAUUCAAAUCAAAAUUCAAAAUUUUAAAGUCAUAAAUAUAAAACGACAAAUUUAAGUAUUUGAAUUUAUUUGAAAGUUAGAAAUAUAUUUGAUAAUAAAAAAUCUAUUUGAAAAUAAGAUAUUUAUUUUAAAUAAAAAAUUUUAAAAUUUAUUUUUAGAUGAUAUAAUGAUUCAAAUCAAAAUUUAAAAAUUUAAAAAUUAAAAUCAUAAACUAAAAUCACAUAUUUAAAAAAUAAGAAUUUGAAAAAUUAGAAAUUAAAAUUAAUGAUACAAAUAUAAAAUAAAAUAAUUAACCAAAUCAAAUAACAAAUGUUGAAAUAAUGGAUAGGGGAGGUUGGAGGGCACUUACAACUAUUUGAGUCGUUGGGGUCCUUGUUGUUCGUCAACAUCGUUGUUGGAGAAACUGUUGGCUAAUCGUUCAAUUCAUAAAGAACCACCUAGUUCAUCAGGUUCACCAGUUCGAUUGCUAAUUCCAUUGAUUUGAGGGUGAUUCAACAACUAAACAACUCAAAAGGGUAGACCAGAUUGGAAUGGUUGUUGGUCGAAUCAGUUGGACUUACAUGAUUGGUUCGACCCAAUUUUUAGAACAUUGGUAUAUAAUAAUUAGGUUUUCAAAAAAUGUUAUAUAAUUAGUUUAAAGUUAGAUUUGUAAAAGGAAUCAUUUUUAGAUUUAAGUUGUUUUAUUAUCAAAUUUACCACUUAAACCUAAGAUCAUAUCAAAUAUUUUUCUAUUUUAAUAAUUUAGUUGCUUGAUCAAAUCCAUGAACUUUAUGUACACAAGUGUGAAUCAAUUCAAAUAAAAAGAAUAUGGUUAAGUGCUUAAUAAUAGUUUGACAUUCACUUUUCCAAUAAUUUAAUAUUCAAACAACUUUCUAUCCUUUAAAAUAGAAAAUUAUUUUCUAGACACAAAAAUAUGUUUGAUAAUUUUUUAAAAACUUAUUAUGGAAAUAAGAUUUUUUUUAAAGAACAUAUUUUAAUUAUAAUAAUCAAUCAUUUUUUAGGAGACAUUUCAAAAAAUAAUUACAUGAGAAUAAUUAAAAAUAAAUUACCAUAGAUAAAAAAAUAUUUUAAAACAUAUUUAGAAACAUAGAAAACAAGUUUAGAACAUUCCUUAUUUCUAAACAUACUUUUGCUUUAAUUUAUUUUUUAUUUAAUUUAACUUUCUUUUUUCCAUGAAUGUUCACUUUUACUAUGCAUAUAUUUGUUCCCUUCUUUUAAAGCAUAUUUGAAACUAUUUGAAUAGUUUUCUAUUCUUAAAAGUUGUUACUUUCUUAAUAACUUGUUCUAAAAACAAGAAACUUGUUUUGAAAAUAAGAUUUUUUUUCUUUCUAAAAACAUGUUUUAAUUAAGUUGUUUUCAAGGAGAUGUUUUAAAAAAAUAAUUAUAUAAAUAUAGAGAAUUAUUAAAAAUAAAUUAUUAUAGGUAAAAGUUAUUCUUAAGAAAUAUUUUUGUUUUUUAAAAAAAAAAACAUUUCAGAUCUUCAAACAUAUCUUUAUUUUAAACAUACGGAAAAACUACUUUUGAAAACUUUAGUAAACAUACCUUUUAAAAAAAUUUCAUUCAUAUGAUGUCCUUUAUAUUAGUCUCUUUUUGAAUAUUUUAUUCUAUGAAGAGAUUAUUAUGACCCCAUCAAUACAAUAUGCUUUGAGACUCUUAUUGCAUGCAAGGCGACAAGCUGGGUAUACUUUGUACAAUCUCACGAAAAUUUGGCUUGGAAAAAAUCUUACUAGCAUUAUUGCAAAUUUGACAUAAUACUACUGCUUAAUCUUACAGCAAACUUGGGAGCACAUGGCCACAAAUUCUAUAUAUAGCUGCUGGCAAUGUGAUCCAGCUUGUCCCACUCCAAUGGCUCUUCUGACGCUUUCUUCAAACCCUUAUUUCACUUUUACAAGACUGCAACCUACAAGCCGCUUCUGCCAUGGAAAAUCGCAGGGUGUUUGCAUUUCUGGUCUAGUCCAAUGCACGGGUGGGGCUAAAACUAGUAGCCAAACAGCCGUGAUUGUGAGGCGAACUGCAAACUUCCAACCUUCAAUUUUGGAUUAUGAUUAUAUCCCGUCACUAACGAGUGAUUAUGUAGUAUGUGCUAGCUUUUAGUACUAUUGUUCAUUAAUGGACUCAACUCGAUUUUUUGAGGGAUAUAGUGUCUUAUAUGCAGGGACAAACGUACACAAGACAAUUGGAGAAGCUUAAGGGAGAUGUAAAGAUGAUGCUUGGCGAAGCCGAGAAACCUUUGCAUCAACUGGAGCUAAUUGAUACCUUGCAAAGGCUUGGAAUACACUAUCACUUUGGGGAAGAAAUAAAGAGAGAAUAUUGCAUGGCAUAUACAACUACAAUAGGAAUGAUACAUGGAAAAAUGGAGAUUUAUAUGCCACAGCUCUUGAAUUUAGACUCCUAAGACAGCAUGGCUACCAUGUUCCUCAAGGUAUUAGAAACUACCGAGUCCUAGGUUUAAAUUUAGUCUUCACUACUGUUUUAAUAAUUUAGUCUUCACUACACGAUCUACCAGGUAAAACAGCAUAUAUAGGAAGCACUAGAUCAAUUAGUUGCCUAGUGAGAAUAGCAUAAGGAGCACACGAUUUUUGGGAUUUUAUAAAUUCUGUGCAACAUAUUUAUACUUUAGCAUAAUUAUUGUCAUAUUGAAUGUUGCAGAUGUUUUCCAUAUUUUCAUAAACAAGAUGGGGACUGUUAAGCCAUGGCUUAAUGAAGAUAUCAAGGGAAUUCUAUGCUUGUAUGAAGCUUCAUAUCUUUCCGUAGAAGGUGAAAAUAUCCUAGAAGAGGCUAGAGAUGUCACAAGAAAUUCUCUUGAAGAAUACCUCAAGAGGACUGUAGAUCAAAAUGAUCUUACCAUGAUAAUAAACCAUGCCAUGGAGCUUCCGCUGCACUGGAGAAUGCCAAGGUUAGAGGCAAGAUGGUUCAUAGAUGCAUAUGAGAGAAGCCAGGGAAUGAAUCCCAUUUUACUUGAGCUUGCUAAACUGGAUUAUAAUAUGGUGCAAGCAACAUACCAGGAGGAUCUAAAACAUGCAUCCAUGUAAGAGCAAGCAUAUUCUCAUUUUCAUGUAUACUACUUUAGCAGCUACAAAGUAUUAUCAAAUUCUAAUAUUGCUAUCCUCUCUUUUGGGCCUUAUAUAUGCAGGUGGUGGAGGAGCGCAGUCCUCCCAGAAAAAUUGAGCUUUGUUAGGGACAGAUUGGUGGAGAAUUUCCUUUGGACUGUGGGAUUUGUAUUUGAACCCCAGUUUGGAUAUUGCAGGAGAAUAUUGACAAGAGUGAAUUCGCUGAUAACAACAAUUGAUGAUGUUUAUGAUGUUUAUGAUGUUUAUGGGACAUUGGAUGAACUUGAGCUCUUUACGGAUGCUGUUGACAGGUUGGUGGUUUCUGUAUACUUCUUGUCCUUCUAAUUUAAUAGAGGUUGGGAAAUUAGUUUUGUUUCCACUGUCAGAUGGGAUAUCAAUGCAAUGGAGCAACUUCCACGAUACAUGAAGAUCUGUUUCCUUGCUCUCUACAACUUCACUAGUGAAAUGGCUUAUGAUGUUCUUAAAGAACAAGGUUUCCACAUCAUUCCAUAUCUCAGAAAAGCGGUAACAUUUCAGAUUGAAAAUUCAGUUAUCUUUCUAUAAUCAAAUUGACGAAAUAUCCUAUGCGAAAUAUGCUUUUGGCUCAUUACGUGAUUAAUUCUUCAGUGGGCAGAUUUAUGUAAAUCCUACUUGGUGGAGGCGAAAUGGUACCACGAAGGUUAUAUGCCAUCUCUACAGGAAUACAUGAACAAUGCCUGGAUUUCAAUGUCAUCUCCAGUAAUACUAGUUCAUGCCUAUUUUUCCAUCACAAAUCCAGUCACGAAGGAGGCCUUGGGAUGCUUCGAGAGAUACCACGAUAUAAUCCGUUGGUCAUCAAUAAUUUUCCGUUUUUCAGAUGAUCUUGGGACAUCAUCUGUAUGCAGCCUAAUUAUCAGAGAUUGCUUUGGUUUAUUUUCCAUACUAACAAUCCAUUAUUUAAUAAUAAUAAUACUGAUAUAUAUAUUUUUCUCUCAGGGUGAGUUAAAAAGAGGAGAUGCUCCUAAAUCCAUACAAUGUUACAUGCAUGAAACUGGUGCUUCUGAAGAUGAUGCCCGCAAAUACAUAGGCUUCUUGAUUGAUGAAACAUGGAAGAAGAUGAAUGAAGAUCGAAAUCUGAAUUCUCCCUUCCCCCAAACUUUUAUUGGAAUAGCAUUAAUGAACGUUGCUAGGAUGGCUCAAUGCAUGUAUCAGUAUGGAGACGGGUAUGGUGUUCAAGACCGUGAGACUAAGGAUCGCAUAAUGACGUUAUUCAUUGAACCUAUUUCCCUUACAUAGAGGAUCCAUGUCUUUCAGUCUGAGAUGUGACUGUGAUCUAAGCUUCUUAGGGUUUGGAUGUAGUAGAACUUGGUAAAUUUGUGCAAAGGAUAUUUCCCUGAAGUUCAAUGAACUUAUUUGGUUGGUUUGGUCUUAUGUUCCUCAGCUGUUAGACUGCUUUCUUGUGAGAUUCACCAUUAGGUAAAACAAUAGCAGAAAAAUCCACACAUACAUAAUCCAAGCAUCUUCUUGAAGGCCAUGGUUGAUAUUGAUGCAACUCUAUAGCUCCGAAUGUAGUGAUACAAUUAAUAUAUUCAAUGGUUUAAAUUAAUUUAUAAUAAUCUUCUAAAUCAGAGAGUACAAUUCAGUGAGAGUGUAUAAUAUAAUUAAAAAACAUGAGUGGAGAGAUAAUAUUUACUACUUAACGACUUAAGUUAACUUUAAGUCAAACUAUAUUCAAAUUGUUGAUUUAAAAAUUACUAAAUUUUUACUUUAAACAUUAAAAUUAUUUGAUAAAAUUAAUAUAAAAUAUAUUGUAAAUUAUCAAAUUAACAUAUUUAUUCUUAUAAAUUAUAACUAAAAUAAUAGAGGUUGAGUAACAGUAAAGGUACUUGAGUGGCAAAGAAGACCAUAAAGGUAAAUAAGACAAAUGAGGGUAAAAAUGUAAAAUAAAAAAUAUAAACUUAAGAAUAAAUUAAUUGAUUUUACUUAUUACUUAAAAUUGAUUUUAAUUUUAAAUCAUACUAUUAAGUUAUUUUUCAAAUACAUCUAAUUUAUUUAAUGAUUUAAAUUAAACUAUUAAGCCAUUUUAAGUUAACUGAUUUACCAAACACUAAUGCAAGACUGCUGGAUAUCUUUGAAAGAAUUGUCUUUGAAAAUGCUAUAUAUUUAGGUUUUAAAUUUUGUUAGUGUAAACCAAUGAUUCUUCCUAAUUUGUUCGUAUAGCACAUCACAUUUCGAAAAGCAAUAAUUAAUAUAGCCAUGGCAUUGUCAGUGCAGUACAUCAAUUCUCAACAAAUUCUUUACUAUUUAUUCAAUGGUUUAAAUUAAAGCAUCCGGGCAUAUUUAGUGUUUUAAAUUAAUUUAUUAUAAUCUUUGUAAACAACAUAAUACAAUUCAAUGAGGGGGAAUGGUAUAAUUAAAAAAAGUUGGUGGAAAGAUAGAAUAAAGGAAUGUUCGAUAAAACUUAUUAUUUAAUGACUUAAAUUAAUUUUAAGUAAAAUUAUGCUUAAAUUGUUAACUUAAAACUUAUUUCUUAAUUUUUAUUUUAAAUGUUAAAAUUGUUUGUUGAAAUUGAUUAAAAAUAUAUUUUAAAUUAUCAAAUUAAUUAAUAUUUAUCCUUAUAAAUUAUAAUUAGAGGAAAGGAGGUUAAGUAACAAUAGAGAUAGUGGAGUGUUAAAAGAGAUCGUAGAGGUAACUAAGAUAAAUAAAGAUAAAGAAAUAAAAUAAAAAUUUAUACUUAAGAAUAAAUUAAUUGGUUUUAUUUAUUAUUUAAAGUCAUUUAAUUUUUAACUUUAAGUUAUUUUCAAAUAUAUUUAAUUUAUUUAAUAACUUAAAUUAAGUUAUUAAGUUAUUUUAAGUUAUUAAAUUAAUUUAUCAAACACCUACUUAAGCUAAGCUAUUAAAUUAUUUCAAGUUAUUAAGUUGAUUUAUCAAACACCGAUAUGUGAUUAAAAAAUCAAGCCCUAUAAUACAUGGCAUUAUCCUUGAAAGAAUUGUCUUUGAAAAUGCCAUAUUGUAGACCCCCGGUUUGCUAGCCACCCCGAAGGAGCUGUCACCAUAUGGAGAAGUGGGGAACCUAUUUUCUUCAAGCUAGCUGCAUGAAACACGUGGCGGAACAGCUGACCAUGGCCAUGGCGUUAGUUGGGAUGGCGACCAGCUGAGUAAGAGAGAGGAGAGCACGUCCAUGACUUGCGGGAGGAGUUUUGACCGAGGGAGAAGCGGGGUUUACAAGGGAUGCUGGAAGAAGGAAGGAGGGGUCUCGAUGGCGUUUUGGGAAGAUAUUUUUUAGAGGGAAAAAUCAAGAGAGGGGCAGGUUUUCUUUGGGGUUAGAAAAGGAAAGAGCAGGGGAAAAAGAUGGGGAAGUGAAAAACGGGAGGAAAUGAGCAGCAACUUGAGGUUUUCUUUUUCUGCAACAGAGAGGUUUUUGGACAAGGGGGAAUUUGGAUAGCUGGAGGAGAGGUUGAGUGAGUGGAGGGUAGAGCUGGGUGAAAGAGAGGAAAACGAGCAGCAACUUCGAUCCCGAUUUCCUAGUCCUGGCAGUAGCAAGAGAUUCAAGCUUCCCAAAGAAGGUUUUUUUUUUUUUUUUUAAUCUAUUUUUUAUGACUGUAAUGGCGUGGAUCAUUCCUCUAUUCCUCAAAAGCUUUGGUCAGCCAUGAAAAAAUGCAGCCGUGAAUUUGUUUCUCGGCCUUUGUCGGAACCAAAGAAGUUGAACUGGUAAAACACACAGUGGAGCAGAGGGGCGGAUCUUCCGGAGGUGAUUCGAUGCGCCGCCUGUGUUUGUGUGGAGUGCUAAAUGGAACCAUUUUGCUGAAUUGCGCUGCAUAAGGAGAGGUUUUUUUUUUAGUGCUGAUGAGUGGUCAACAUGCAUAGAAAGGGACAGUGAGGAUGGGGUUUUAAUAUAUAUGGCUGAUGAAAAAGACACGUGUUCAAUAGAUACCAUGGCUGCAUAUGAAAAAUCAAGAGGUGGCAUCCACUUUGAGGUAUGUGAUUGUUUUAUCAUUAUUAUUAUUAUUAUUAUUAUUAUUAUUAUUAUUAUUAUUAUUAUUAUUAUUUUAGUUAUUUAUCUUUAAAAAAAUUCCAAGAAUAAUUUCAAAAUUUUCAAUUUAUAUAAUUUAAUAAUUUCUAUUUCUUAAAUAAUUUUCAAUUCUAAUUUCUUUCAAAAUUUAAUUUCCAAAGUCCCAAUUUUCAUAAUUUGAUUUUUAUAAUUUAACUUUCAUAGUUUCUACUUCUCAAAUAAUUUUCAAAAUUAUGUUUUCUUUCGAAUUUAAUCCCUAAAAUCCCAAUUCUUAAAUUUAAAUUUUCGAAAUUCUAAUUCUCAAAUAAUUUGCUAUUUUUUUUUAAAUUUAAUAUCCAAGAUUCCAAUUCUUAAAUUUAAUUCCCAAGACUUCAAAAAUCCAAUUUUCUCUCUAACAGUUUUAAUUCCCUUCGGGUUUCAAAUGAUCUUCUAUUCCUCUUGAUUUUACAUAAGCAUGAAUGUCAUUUUUCAUAAUUUCAGAAUAAUGGAAUUUGUGAAAUUAAUUCGUGCAAAAUACAUCGGGCUUUGGUGGGGGCCCCACAUACAUGAUUUCGUGAUUGAUUGGUGGAUUGAUUGAUAUGAUUGCUAUACAUGAUUGAUUUAUUCCACUCUAUGAUACACACACGUUUAUUCUGUAUUUAAUUGCUAACAUUUGUUUCCCUUAAAGUAAAUCGGUUCAUCACUCAGGUACAUUAUUUGUCUAUCUUAUUCAUUCAAUUAUUUUGUUUUGAGUGAUAUUCAUUUAGUAUCCAUGCUCGAUUAAUCAAUUGUCAUGAUUGCUUCAUUUUAUUAGUAGAGACCCAUUUUAGGGGCUUAGAGGGAUGCUACGGUCUUUACCCUACCUUCCCGAUAAGUAACCUAACCCCCGAACCUGAUCUGGUUUUUCUCAGACCACCUUUUUCCGAAGUAAGGAGUCACGCUUAGGGUUUUCUUUCUUACUUUGUUUACCCUUUAAAAAUAAAACAAAAAUAAGUGGCGAUUCCAAGUCAUUUUCUAAUAAAUAAAAUCAUUUUCAAAUAAAAAAUCGAGCUCGACAUCAAGUGGGAAGCGCAUAAGCCGAAAUGCAGGGUCCACAAAAUGGCGACUCCACUGGGGAGCACUAGAGGGUCAAGCUUGAACUUAAGAUGGAGCAAAUGUGACAUUUGAUUAGUCGAUCAGUGGGUACACACCUCUCUUUGUGUGUGUGUUUGCUUGACUGUUGAUUGCACAUUGAGAGCUCUUGGUAUCACUAUCCUUGAUGCAUGAUUAGUUAUGGUACUUGUUUGAGGCAUUGGUAUGUCGAUUAUAUUGAUUGACCCUUUCGAUUAUUCUCACAUAUUGACUCUUCUGGUUGUAUGAUUAUUCUGCUCACCUUGACAUGUACAUUCUUAUUGUUGCUUAUCUCGUUCAUCUUGACAUGUUUGUUUCUUGGUUGUGUAUUAUCAUGAUUGUUAUUGAGCAUGCUAUCAUUGUCAGAUAUUCUUAUCGAUUAGCUUGUGUGUAGAUUUGGAUGAUAUAUAUCUGUUUUGCAUGACUGUCUGUUGCAUGACUUCUCUCAUUUUGUGUGAUUGCAUGAGUUGCUUGUCUAUGUGGGAGACACACCUAUCCUCUUAUUUCCAAGUCCCUAGUCUCGGUCGACAUUGUUUUCCUUGGUCUCAUAUUUGAUAUGAGACUUUUUGCUUUGUUGUCUCUUCGACCGAGCUAGUGAUUAGGAAUAGGGUCUAGCGAUGGGCUAUAUUUAUGUUUGGGAGCAUUCUGGAGGUGAUCGACAUAUUGAUGCUGAUUGGAGUCUGAACUUUGAAGACUUGUAUAGCUCAGAGCUAGAUUUCAUGGAUAUUUGUGCGGUCAAUGUGUUUCCAUUUCUGCUUUAGCUUCAUAGGGUUUUCGGAUGCACCCACACCACUCACUGCGCACUCUAGUUGACCAUUGAGAGUUUUGAGAGGUUUCACCAUAGGAAACCCCCUGGGAUGUCGAGGUAGUGCAUGUGUGUAGGUGAUGACCACAUUGCAUGGAAGCACCCCGUCUCUUUUGAGACGUAUAGAGGGUUGCAUACCACCGGAGGGUAUGAUCGCUUCUGCUAGGAAUCUUUUAAAGUCCACCCAUUUCCUUUUAGCGCCACUUUGACCUUGUAAGAUGAGCUUAGAUCCUUCUACUAGGACUCUCUCCCUACACGUGGGUGCAUCUGAGGGCUUUCAGAGCCUCUAUGGUCAUAGUUUGGAUUCGAUACUCCCUCUUUUUGGUCUCCAUUUGAGAGUACUCAGAGAUUGGUAUGAGUUUGAGUAUGGCUUGGAUCACCUUUGUUGUGUCACCUUAGUUUAUGUUUUUCACUCGAUGAGUUUAGCAUAUUUUUUUCCUAGGGCUUUCGUUUUUCUUUCUUGGCUCGACACGUCCUUUCACUUUGUUGUCACUUACUUGAUGCUUUGGAAUAUGUUCAUAGAUCAUCUUUUUACAUUAUACACCUAUCACGGGUUCGGUACACCAUUCUUUGUUUGAUCAUUGAUUUAAUUUUUGACUCAAUGCUCAUAUUUUCAUUACGGAAUGGUAAAAGACACAUUUUCACAUUCACAUCUUUUUCGAGAGUUUCGCCUUGAUCACCUUAUCAUUUUUCUCUUAUGGAGCUCGAGUCGAAGGUUGAGUUAAGGAUAUGUGGUUAUAGAUGGAGUAUCGCUCUUGUGAUAGUGUAUUUCUCACACAUCUUUGGAUUAUUGAUAGGAAUUCUCUAGUCACAUUUGUAGUCAUCUCACAGUGGACACAUUUAUGACUCUAGAGUUCUCAUCAUACAUCCGGAUUUCGGAUCACCACCUUAGGACCAUGCGCUCGCAUGUUGUAUUGUCGUCUUUUAGAGUUCUAUCUUGUGUCCUUCAUCCAUUUCGUUUGCAUUGUAGGGAGUUAGUUUAAGAGUUGGUCGAGUUUGGAGUCACCUUCUUGGAGGAGAGUUAGAGGUCGAUUGAUCAGAGCAGAUUCACAUCAAUGUUCAGACAAUUCGGUUGAGAUGUCAGACGAGCUAACUGCUACACUUGCUUCUAUUCAGGAGUUCAUGGCAGGAGUCAGUAGACGCUUGGAUCAGAUAGAGAGUUCUCGCUAGGAUCCUCAUCUAAUUUGCAUGGUCAGUGAUGAAACAGUUCCUCAUACGUCUCAAACAGCACAGGCUAUGCCACAUGAGGUUUCACUUGGUACUCCAUUCCAUCUGGCAGAUCAUUAUGAGACCACUCCACCACUUACUGCCAUAGUGUCGCCUCCCAUGGUUCUUACUAUUGAUGAUACUAGAUUGGCCGAGUAGGAGACCAGGGUUGAGAGGCUUGAGGCCAGGAUGAGACAGAUCAGAUUACAGGAUGGGGGUUUGACUUGGGAUGAUAGAGAUGGUAUACCGACGGCUAGCUUGCCUGCCAAGUUUCGCAUGCCAGAUAUGAGCGCUAUAGUGGGAUUGGUUGUCCCAAGAUCCAUUUGAGGCUAUACAGCACAGUCAUGAGAGCACAAGGGAUAGAUGAUGCGCAGUUGGUGGCUCUCUUCCCUAUGUCUCUUAGUAGAGCAGCUCAAAGAUGGUUCGCUUCAGUUGGGCCUUCAAGACUUCGCACCUGGGAGGAUGUAGCACAUGAGUUCCUGACUCAGUUUGCUUUCAAUGUCGAUAUUGAUGUAUCCAGAUGAGAGUUGGAGGCCAUCAGACAGAGGCCAAACGAGUCUAUUUCUUCAUUUGUCACUCGUUGGAGGGCAAAAGUGGCUGGUAUGAUAGACCGACCUAAAGAGCAGGAUCAGAUUGAUAUGGUUCUUUGGAACCUACAGCCGAGGUUCGCUAGGCAUCUUGUAGGCAUCCAAUUUCAGGAUCUUAGGAGUUUGGUUCAUGCAGCUUUCAGUGUUGAGAAGGCCAUUGCUCAAGGAUUAUGGACAGAUAUUGCUACUUCCCUUGACAGUAAGGGGAAAAAGUCGAUUGGAUCACCUAGUAGAUUUGGAAAGGUUGGUGUUAUUAGCUAUCAACAUCAGAGGCCCGCACAUCACUUACCUUAUAGGCCUCCUACAGUCAGAGCUCAUUUCUCUCAUCCGCAAUAUCAAUAUCAACUGAUGUAUAUUUAGGAGUCUUACAUUGCUCAGACCAGCAUGCAUCCACGACCACCACAUCUGAGAGCCAUUACUCACCCACUACCUAGGCCAUAUGCACAGAGGCCCGCGAGACAGUUCACUCCAUUGGGCAUGACUUUGACUAGAGCUUUUGAGAAGCUUAGAGACGUAGGAUUGAUUGUUCCUUUGGCGCCACGCCCUUUGCCACAUUCUAUUCCUCCUCAUUUCCGCUCACAUGAGCAUUGCUUAUAUUAUUAGAUUCAGGGGCACGAUACUGAGCGUUGUUCGGCACUCCAUCUUGCGAUACAAGACUUGAUCGAUUCAGGGUUGGUCGACUUGACUGGCUGGGCCAAGUGUGACCACCAAUCCUCUACCUACACAUUCUACACAUACAGUUCCCCCUCCUCCUAGUCUUUAGUAGAUUGAUUUGGAUGUUGAUGGUAUUGAUGGUCACAUGGUAUUUUGGGACAUCCCGGGUUGAGGGCUGGGAUAAAUCGACAUGGGUACAUCAUUUUGCAGCGGUUUAGCCUAGAGCACCUUUCAUUUUGAUUAUGGUUGUCAUCAGAGCUGUUCUUGUUCUGUCGAGUCCAGUUUUUAGUUCGUUAGAGUUGUUUUUUUUAGUCCAGUUUGGUUUAGAGUCGUUUGUUUAUAGUUUAUGUUAAGAGUCUAGUCGUUUGUAGUCCUUUAUCACUUCACACAUGAUGUACUUAUUUGGUUCAUUUAGUGAUAUGAUAUUUUUAUUUUGAGUAUGUGUUAUUCUCUUUUCUCAUGAGUACGUUUUGCAUAUUUUGUGUUGAUGAGUACUAUGCUUUUAAUAUGAGACAUAUUUUCACUUAAGCAUCAUGAUCACUCUAGCCUGAGCUAUCAUGGAGGAUAUUGAGCCUAUUGACUUAGGAUCAUGAGAUCGACCUAAAGAGUUUGAGACUGUGACCCAUUUCACAUUUUGAUCAGAGCAGCACCAAAUCCACAUCCAUACCUUGUCUUUUUAGACUUGAUGACCUACCCAUUUUUGAGCUUGACAUGACACCACCCCUUGGUACUGUAUACAACCUUUACCAUUCUUAUUCGCUUUCGUAUAUUGUAGUACCAUUGCCUAUUCUUUCCAUUUUUUCCUUGAUCUGACCAGGUAGUGUCCGAGAUGGUUUGACUUGAGGUGAGUUUUGCAUGAUGAUAGAUGUAUCAUGAUGAGAGAGUGGCUUGACUGCUUGAUGAUAUUGUUGAAGCAGAGAGAUCGUCAUGGAGCAUCCAGAUUUGAGUCAUUGCACAUGAUUUCAGGGGUUUUGGUAUGAUCAGAGAGAUUGAUUUUAUGAGACGAUGGUGAGUGACAUAUGACGAUAGAGUGAGGUGAUUGUCCGAGGACAUUGAUGAUUAUCAUAGAGCAUUAGUGGUAGCUUUCACGCUAUUUCAGAGGAGUCGCCAUGACUAUGUUGGGCAAGUGCUAGUCUUUAGUAUUGACCAUGUGAGAUCUUGAAAGCACGAUGUUCGAGGUUGUGGUCAUAGGAUGGGUGGCCAUCAUUUCAGGAGCCUAUUUACUUUAUCACCCUCGCAUAUAGAGUUACCCGUUGCUAGCCUUUUGAGCCUCACACGAGCAUCGUAACCUGUUCUUUCACCACCUCAUUUACUUAUUUCACCGGGUUGGGGGCCCUAUAGUGCUUGCAUGCUUUGAUUAGAUACGUCAUGAAUUCUAGACCUGACAUACAUAUUCAAGCCUCAUCAUUCACUCUUCAUUUUGAUAUUUUCCUCUUGGUCAUCAUUUCAUCACUAUUUUCUGAUAUCACAUAUCACCACUUGUGAUAUUCGUUCUCUGUCUUUUCUUUCAUCAUUGUUUACUCAUCAUUAUCUUUGUUUCACCUUGAGUGGUGGUUUCUCACACGUCAUUGCAUGGAGGAUUGUCACGUUCUUCCGCUCGUUCGCCUUAUGAGCAAUGGUUCAAAGAUUUUAUUUUAAGAGGUCGUCUUGUUAAUGAGGAUUCGUGUUACAUCAGUACAUGGGGAGAUUUUAUUCAUUUGGCUAUGUAUUUCAUGAGAGGUCAGUCAUUAUUGAUCAGAAUAUGCGCAAAAAAAAAAAAACAAACAAACAAACAAAACAAAAAAACAAAAAACAAAAAAAUGAAAUGAUAACGCAUUGUUCAUUUUAUUAUUCUCCAUUGGGCAUGUGUAUGGACAUGCUAGUUCGCUUCAUUGAGUUCAUGUGUUAGGGAGAGUUCGUAUGAGGGCUUCUUUCUGAGAUUAUAUCUUAGUAUAUUUUGGGUGAGAGUAUGAGUUGCCCAUUCAUUUUUGUGAGAGAGGCGAGCGACCUUUCUUUAGUAUCUCUGGAUCCUUGCUCUAUCCAUCAUCCCAUCUAUUUUGGAUGUGACUACCUUCCAUGCUUUGAUGCAGGUUGACCAUCACUCACUUUUCUAUUUCUGUACUUUUGUCUAUCUCUGUUUUAUCACUCCAUUCCUCUAUUUCACUCUAUCUCAUCUGUUUUCUUUCUUUUCUCAUCAUGUUCGAUGUUUGACUUGGGUUCAACAUCCAUACAUUACACUUGCUUAUUUGAUAUGUUCAUUCAUUUAUCAUCACUUUUUGUGUGGGGACCCCCUAGGUCCAGGACUCAUGACGUUUUCUAUGCAUUGCAUUUCAUGCAUGAGGGGCCCCCACAUAAUGGAAUUUGUGAGAAUGCCAUUUUUCAUAAUUUCAGAAUAAUGGAAUUUGUGAGAUUAAUUCGUGUAAAAUACAUCGGGCUUUGGUGGGGGGCCCACAUACAUAAUUUCGUGAUUGAUUGGUGGAUUGAUUAAUAUGAUUGCUAUACAUGAUUGAUUUAUUCCACUCUAUGAUACACACACGUUUAUUUUGUGUUUAAUUGCUAACAUUUGUUUCCCUUGAAGUAAAUCGAUUCAUCACUCAGGUACAUUAUUUACCUCUCUUAUUCAUUCAAUUAUUUUGUUUUGAGUGAUAUUCAUUUGGUAUGCAUGCUCGAUUAAUCAAUUGUCAUGAUUACUUCAUUUUAUUAGUAAAUACCCGUUUUAGGGGCUUAGAGGGGUGCUACGGUCUUUACCGUACCUUCCGUAACCUGACCCCCGAACUUGAUCCGGUUUUUCUCAGACCACCUUUUUCCGAAGUAAGGAGUCAUGCUUAGGGUUUUCUUUCUUAUUUUGUUUACCCUUUAAAAAUAAACACAAAAAUAAGUAGCGACUCCAAGUCAUUUUCUAAUAAAUAAAAUCAUUUUCAAUUAAAAAAUCGAGCUUGUCAUCAAGUGGGAAGAGCAUGAGCCGAAAUGUGGGGUCCACACAUAUAUUUAGGUUUUAAAUUUCUUUGCAUACACAAGUGAUUAUUCCUAAUUUGUUUUUGUUCAUAUACAUCACAUUAAUUUCAAAAAGCAAUAAUAUAGCCAAUGCAUUGUCAGUAUGGUACAUCAAUUUUCAACAAAUUCUUUACUAUUUAUUCAAUGGUUUAAAUUAAAUCAUCUUAGAUUUAGUGUUUUAAAUUAAUUUUGUGUGUUUAAAUUGAUUUUUUAUAAUCUUUAUAAAUCAAAGAGUACAAUUCGAUGAGAGUAUAUGAUAUAAUUAAAAAAAUGUCAGUGGAAAAAUAAAUGGAGAGAGUGUUUGAUAAAACUUAAUACUUAUUAUUUAAUGAUUUAAGUUGAUUUUAAGUUAAAUUAUAUUUAAAUUGUCAAUUUAAAAUUUAUUACUUAAUUUUUUUUAAGUAUUAAAAUUGUUUAAUAAAAUUAACUUAAAACAUAUUUUAAAAUUUUAAAUUGAUAUGUUUAAAUUUAUAAAUUAUAAUUAAAAUAAAGGAGGUUGAAUAAUAGUAAAAAUAAUGAAGUAAUAAAGGUGAUGGUGGAAAUAAUUAGGAUAAAUGAAAAUAAAAAAGUAAAAUAAAAAUAUUCAUUUAAAAAUUAAUUAAUAAUAUUUUUUAUUUUUUAUUUUAAGUCAUAUCAUUAAAUUAUUUUAUUAAAGAUGUUUAAUAAUUUAAAUUAAGUUAUUAAAUUAUUUGAAGUUGCAAAACUGAUUAAAAAACGGAGUAUGACAAAAUGUGGCAUUAUUCUUGAAGGAACCGACUUUGAAAAUGACAUAUCCUUAGGUUUUAAAUUUCUUUGCAUACGCUGAUGAGAUGAUUAUUUCCAAUUUCUUCGUAUAUUACAUCAAAUUCCAAAAAGCAAUAAUUGAUUGUUGAAAGUAUAGUACAUCAUCUUUCAACAAAUUCUUUACGUUAAUCCCUGCAAUUUUGACCAUUCUUAUAACCCAGCUACGUGCAAGUACUGUUUUGCCGACCGAUCCACAUACUGCAAUGUAAUUUGUUGCACAGUAAAAGAUGUGGGCUCCCAGUCUACCUAUUUUCCAUAAUUGUCCUAUCCUAAAAUAAAGAGCUAUUUCCCCUAUGUGGAGGAUCCAUGUCUUUAAGUUUGAGUUGUGAGUCUGAUGUGAGCUUUUUGCAUCUAAGAUAAAAGAAAACUUAGAAGAAUAUUUCUCUGAAGUUUAAUUGACUUAUUUAGUUUGGUCUCAUGUCCCUCGGGUGAUUAGACUGUUUUCUUGUGUUAGAUGAAGAUGUGAGUUGUGUUUUUUUAGAGUUAUAAUUAGAUAGAUUUUAUUGAAAUUGAUAUUAAUUGAUUUAUUUUGGUUUUAAUAUAUUGUCGGAUUGAUUGGAAAUAUAUUUUUGAUCUAAAUUUUAUGACUAGUUUUAUUUUUUUUUUUAAGUAAAAAAAUUUAUAGAAAUUUAUUAAGUUUAAUUUUAUUAAAAAUUAGACCAAUUAUGAGACAAAAAGAGUGACUGCAAGUGGCUUGCCUCCCUCUCACUUUGGAACUUUGUGGUUUUAUAUAUAAAUAUUGAUAAUUUUUUUGGAUACCCUUCACUUCCUUGACCCAUGAAAUGAGUUUUGUCGUAUACAGGUCUAGCCCUACCUCGAAUGGGAAUGUUUGAGAUAAAGAUAAAUAUGUUAAGACGAGUUUAGGAAAAUUUUAAAAACUUGGGAUAGAUUCAAGGUGAAUUCGGAGUAUGAUUUUAUUCUAUCCCAAUUAUAUAUAAUUUAAAAUAAAAAAUUAUUUUAAUUGAUUUUUUUUUUCAAUUUUCAACCUUUUAAGAUAAAUAAAGUAUUACUUUUAUAAAAAUAAAUUAUAAAUGUUUAUAAUAUUUAUUUAUUUAUAAAUCAUAUUUAUUUUUAACAAAUUUAAAAUCUUAAAAAUAAAAUAAAUUAGAAGAAAUGAAAAAAUAAAAACUAAACAAGGAGAUAGGGUGGGUAUGAGAAUUUUUUAUACCCUUUCCAGUCCUGUUUAACUUUUGUUUUUUUUCUUAACAAUGGUGAAAACAAAUAAAAAUAAAUGAGAUGGGUUUGAGAUAGCAAUGACACAUCUUGAACCUUUACCGUUAUACAUUAGUAUAUUUAAAGGGAUUAACAUAAAGUAUUUUUUGAAAGUUAAUGUACCAUAUUAACAAUUUGGUGGUUAUGAAAAAAUUAGUAGUUAUUAUCAAAGUUUAUUUUGUCCGACUUUAGGUUCAAAAGUCCAGUUAUCUCGCGUAUGAUCAUAUCAUUCACUUUUUUUCGAUUAUUGUACUCUCUUGUUUCUCUCAUUGAAUUAUUGUACCCUCUAUGCAUGAAGAUUUUAAUAAAUUAAUUUAAAUGAUUGAAUAUAUAUAUAUAACUGAAUGAUUUAAUUUAGCUCAUUGAAUAGAUAAUAUAUGUUAUAUUUUACAAACAAAAUUAAAGAUAUUAUUUAAUAUUGAAAUUAACUUAAAAUAAUAAAUCAAAUGAAAGCAUCAAACUGUUAUCAUAAAAUCUACCUAAGAAACUUGCAGAGGAGAUGUUACAAUUUGAAACUGAAGACGCUCAAAUAUCUUCACUGGCAUCAUUUGUGGGAAAGUCUAAGUUCAUCCCACUUAGCUAGAAUGAAAAGCCACCUGCGAAAGAUCAAGAAAAUCCUUACAAAAGUGGGGGGCCUCCCUUGGAAAAGUCUCUCCAAAUCUAAAAACUCAUUUCUAUAUUGAGAAACCUUUUUGGUAUCCAGAAAUGAUAGAACAAAAUUUUCAAUUAUUCAUGAAGAUUUUCUAGCAUCUUUAGGAACCUUUCUCACCAAACUAAAUAGGAAAAAUAUUAAUAAAUCUGAGAGAAUAAUUGUGACAGAUGAUAGAAUGCAGAUCAGAAUGACAAAUCUAUUCCAUUUAUUAAAAAUACAAAUGGGAAUAAAAAUUUUAUUUUCAUGUAAAUCAAAGCUUAUCCUUAUUAAUUUUGAUUCUUAGUUGUUUUUGUUGGAGUAAUAGCAUUGAAAGAAGGAUAAAAACAAUUACCUAAAUAAAGAUAAAUAAUUAAUUAAAAAGAAUUUAAAGUUUUAUUGUCUUUCGUCACUCUUUUUUAAAUAUUAUACAAUAUUUUAUUUAUAAAUACUCAUGCCUAACUAUAUGCGCAAAUUUAUGAAAUCCUACAGAAAAUAAAAAAAAUAAAAUAAGACAACAAGAAAAAUAUGCCAAUAAAAUUAUUUGUAUUAGAACUAUUUUUCUAUAAUUUGAUUGUCUAGAUCAUAAUCCAGAUGAUGAUGAUGUGCAUAUUUCUUGGGGACCGAAGUUUAAUAUUAAUGGUCUUGUAUGGCUUAAUGAAACAAUUUUUUUAAAAAAAAACAAUAUGGUAACCAAAGAGUCAAUGAAACAAAUGACUGAAUGGAACAAAUCAGUCACUUUAGAUGAUUAAGAAAAAGCUAGGAAAUGAUGAUUCAGUUCCUUUUUUAUUUUGCUCUUUUGGUAUAAUUUUAUAUUUGUGACGAUUAGGAAUAGAUAAUUGCAUUUCGUGUAGGACCUAACCAUCUGAUACAAUUGAAUAAAAGCAACUAUCAAACCAGAAAUCUUUGACAACUUCCUAGACCAGGGGAAUGGGCUCAAUUAGUAACGAUAAUACACGAUCCUUGGUUUCUCGAUCUUGAACACCAUGCCCAUCUCCAUACUGGUACAUGCAUUGGGACAUCCUAGCGAGGUUUAUUGCAAUUCCGAUAAAAGUCUGGGAGAAGGGAGAUUCCAUAACUCGAUCUUCAUUCAUCUUCUUCCAUGUCUCCCCAAUCAAGCAUUUUAUGUGUUCUCGAGCGUCUUCUUCACAAGCGCCAGUUUCAUGCAUGUAACAUUGUAUGGAUUUAGGAACAUCUCCUCGUUUUAGUUCAUCCUGAGGCAAUGAAAAAAAGAACCGUUAUAAUUUGUUGUUCGACCUAGAAAUCAAAGCAAUCUUUACUGAACAUGUUAAUCAAAAUGAGAAAGAGAGGAAAAAUGCGUACGGAUGAAGUUCCAAGAUCAUCUGAAAGGCGUAAAAUAAUUGAUGACCAGCGGAUUAUAUUGCAAUAUUGCUCCAAGCAUUCCAAAGCGUCCUCGGUUAUUGGAUUUGUAACAAAAAAGAACGCAUGAACUAGUAUUACUGGUGCUGAUAUUGAAAUCCAUGCAUUACUAAGGUACUCUUUCAGGGUUGGUGUAUAUCGCGCGUGGUACCACUUUGCCUCCAAUAAGUAAGACUUACAUAAAUCUGCCCACUGGAGGAUUAAGAAUUGUAUAAUGAGUCCAUAGUAAAUAGGAGACAGAAAAUUUCAUGAAAUUUAAUUCAAAGAGUACUGACACGAGUUUGGAAUCCAAAACAUUACCGCUUUUCUAAGAUAUGCGAUGAUGUGGGAACCUUGCUCCUUAAGAAGGUCAUAAGCCAUUUCAUUGGUCGAGUUGUAGAGAGCAAGGAAACAUAUCUUCAUAUAUUCUGGAAGUUGAUCCAUUGCAUUGAUAUCCCAUCUGAACAUAUAUGAAAACAAAAUAUUUGAGGUUUUAUCAAGCGGGUAUUUUGGAGUUAACAUGCAUAUACCUAAAGUAUACAUAGAGGAGAUCCACUGCCACCAACCUGUCAACAGCAUCUGUAAAGAGUUCAAGUUCCUCCAAUGUUCCAUAAACAUCAUAAACAUCAUCUAUUGUUGUUAUCAUUGCAUUUACUUUCGUCAACAUUCUCCUACAAUAUCCAAACUGAGGCUCAAAUAUCUCCCCCACAGUCCACAAGAAAUUCUCCAUCAACCUGUCCCUCGCAAAGCUCAGCUUUUCUCCAAGACGUGUGCUUCUCCACCACCUAUAAAAAUAUAAUGUCCACAGUAUUAGAAUAUGGUAAGUUGUAUUUGGAUAUAUCUGAAAUAAUAUAAUGUGAAUAUGCACAUUUGCUCUUACCUGGAGGCAUACUUCAGAUCCUCUUGGUGCUUUGCUUGCACCAUAUUAUAAUCUAAUUUUGCAAACUCAAGCAAGAUGGGGUUCAUGUCCUGUGAUCUCUCAUAUGCAUCUAUGAACCACCUUGCCUCUAACCUUAGCAUUCUCCAAUGCAGUGGAAGCUCCAAAGCAUGGCUCACUAGUAUGGCAAGAUUUUCAUCUAUAUUUUGCUGCAGACAUGCUUCAAGAUGUUUUUUUGCUAAAACUCUAGCUUCUUCCAAGAUACUUUCACCUUCUAUGGAAAGGUAGGAAGCUUCAUACAAACACAGAACUCCCUGGAUAUCUUCAGAAAGGCAUGCCUUAAAGCCCCCCAUCUCAUCCUUGAAACUACUAAAAACAUCUGCAAUAAAAAAUGCUCAUUUUUUAGCUGUUAUAGAGACAAAGUCAAAUAAAGACCUUUACUGCUAGCAAAGAAUUAGUUAAGAUCUCUAAAAUGCCUUAGGAUGCAGUACUUCAUCUUUCUGUACCAAAAAUGAAGAUGUUACUGAUAUACCUUGAGGAAUGCUAUACCCAUUUUGUCUUAGAAUUCUAAAUUCAAGAGCUGUGGCAUGCAAAUUCUCUUUCUCCCACUUGUCAUCAAUGUUAUGAUUGCAGUACAUGCUGUUCGACAGUCUCUUGAUUUCAUCUUCGAACUGGUAAGAUAUUCCAAGUCUUUGCAAGAGAUCGAUCACCUCAAGUUGAUCCAAAGGCUGCUCCACCUUUCCCAGCAUCAUUUUCACCUCCCUCUUUAGUUGAUCGAAUCUUCCUAUGCAUGUUUCUCCCUGCACAUAUAACAAUAUAUUCAUAUGCAACAUCAAGCUAAAAAACGAUUAAAACACAUUGCUAAGAAUAAUGAAUAGCUACCCUAUAAUCACUUGUUAGUGACUGGACAUAGUCGUAGUCCCAAGUGGGGGCUUGAUAAUUUGCAGUUCGCCGUACAGUGGUUUCAUAAGAAGGUCUAUUGACAACCACGCAUUGUACCGGAUGAGCAGGCUUGCCACUAAUGGAUUUUCCCAUCCAAAAAUCCCUUCUAGGUGGCAGUAAGCUAUGACUUAGAAUAGAGGUUGAAGAAAGCAUAAACAGAGCCAUUGAGAAGAACUUAGCAAGAGCUAGCUGUAGAUGAUUGUUUGGGUUGGACUGGGCUCCACAUUGACAUCAAACUUCACCCUUUAUAUAGAACAUGAUACAAGCAAGAGGCGUGCACAAGGUCAGUUGUUGAGCCUUGCCACCAAAUUCUCAUGUAUAAUAUGUGUGUUUAUCCUUUAUUUAUUUUAUGCUGUAUUGUAUAUCCAAAUAUGGGGUGGCUGUUAGGAUCUUUCUAUUUAUCCUAGAAGUAGCAAUCCCUGCCGAUCACCAACCUUUGUUUAUAUAUUAAUUUGUCUUCAUUUCAGUGGAGCUGUCGGGAGGUGUUCAUAGAUUGAUUUAUAAAAUGACAUGUUUAAUAAGUGGAAGCCUAGAUGAGUUGAACCAGUCCAAUCCAACAAAAAUGAGAACCGGGGAGUUAAAAAGGGUCUAGAUUCGGUGAUGAGAUCUCAUCAAGAAUUAAAAUAUCAAACAUUACAAAAACAUUUCGGUGGUUGAAUUUAUGAAAAUAUCAGAAAAAAAUUUUAGAGAAAAAAAUAUUAAUAUGAUAAAAAAAGUAUUGGAAGCCAGAUGAGUUGAACCAGUCCAAUCCAUCAAAAAUGAGAACCGGGGAGUUAAAACUGUCUAGAAACUCCCAUUAUGUAAUCAUAAAAUAAAAAUAAAAAAACAAAAAAAAAACCUUCUCUCUUUUACUCUCUUUCUCUCUUUAAGAAAAGCCUAAAAGAACACACUUUUAUAACAAGUCAUUUCUCUUGAAUUUAUUUGAGAACGAAAGUUAAGAUAUUUGUGCUAUGAAAAUAAAGUAAUUAUUAAUUUUUGUAAUUUCUUUCUUGAUUUGGGACAAAGAAUUCAAUAAUGAAACAAUCAAUCUAAAUUUUGGACAUCUUAAAAGGCAAUUUGAAGUCUUAUUUCCAUUAGUAGCAAAAAAAAACCUUUAAUAACUAAAAAACAAAUAGCAAUACACUUAAUUAAAUUGUUUUACUAAAUAAUUAUAUAUAUAUAUAUAUAUAUAUAUAUAUAUAUAUAUAUAUAUAUAUAUAUAUAUAUAUAUAUGAUAAAAUUUAUAGUAUUUCAUGAAAAUGUUUAGAACUUGAUUUUAUUUGUAUAAAAAAGACAAAAAUCAAAUAAAAUCAUUGGGAAUAUCAUAAGAAUGACUUCCUAUUUUCAAUAAUCAGUCAAAUAAAAUUAAAAAAAUAAAAUAAUUAAAAUGUAUUAAUUCAUUAAAAUUAUAUUUCAAUAUUUAGUUUUUAUAUGGACAUACAUAAAAUCAGUAUAUAUAAAACAUCUUGAAUAUAUUUCAUAAGAAUAACUUUGCCUCGGUAGAAAGGGGUCACACUACUAUAGAUCUUUAAUUCAGGAUCCAUAUUUAUUUGCACUUGUGAUGUAUAUAUUAUUUAUUGAAGAGCCUAAUGCAAAAUGAACUCAUGCAUCCCUAAAAUAUUGGUUUUGACAGAUAUAUUGGUAAUUCGAUUUUACAGAUAUAUCAGAGUAUAUUAAAGGAUAUUAGUAGAUAUUUUCACAUAAAUAUCGAUAGGGUAAAAAUUAAUUAAAACUCAUGAAAAUAUUAAGAAAAAUUCUAAAAAUGAUAUAAAAAGUAAUAAUAAACAUUUUUAAAUUGUUUUAUUAAAGAAAAUUAUAUAUGUAUGAUAUAAUUUAUUAUAUUUACUAAUAAUAUCAUAUGUGUAGAUAAAAAAUAUAAAUUUUAUAAAUGUAUAUUUAUUAUUAAGUUACACAAAAUAUUAUUCAAUAAUAAUAUCAAGACAUUUAAUUAUAAUAUGCUUAAUUUUAAAAUAUAUUUAAUAUUAAAACUAUGAUCCAUUUAUUUCAAUUGUAAUUAAUAAUAUAAAAUAAAUAUUGAUAUAUGCAUAAUUUUUUUAAUAUUUAAUUAAUAUAUUAAUGAUAAAAAAAAAAUCUAUGAAGAAAAUUAUUAUGAUAAUUUUUAUAGUUUUGGCAAUGUUUUUAUUUAAUUAUAAAACAACUAUAAUUAAUUAAUUGAUUAAAAUAUCUUUUUAAUAUAUUUUUUUUAUGAUGACUUAUGGUCUAGUAGUCAUCUAAGGCCAACCUUUUGUCUUGGGUUGCCAUCCCGAAAUAGUAGAGAAAAAUGGGGUUUUUUUUUUUAACUUUUGCAGCAAUUUUUAAAAAUAAUUAUUAAAAAAUGAUAAUUGAGAAAAUAUUGAUAGAUCUAUAACCGUCUUGACCACGUGAAAAGUGUCUUUUGAAGAGACAUCUUUCACAAUUUUCAAAAUCAUAAUACAUAUUUAAAAUAACUGAAUUUAAGCUAAAGGUAUUUCUUGAACAGACAUCUUCUACCAUUCUAGAAAAUUGAAUUUAUAUUAAAGGUAUCCCUUGAAAAGACACUUUUCACGUGACAAAAAAUCCAAUAUACAUUAAAGGUGUCUUUUGAAGAGACACUUUUCACAAUUCGACAAAUUUGAAUGUCCCGUGAAUUUGAUUUUAAAGUUAAAGAUGUUUCUUGAAAAAACACAUUCUACAAUUCCUAAAAAUUUUAAUUUAUACAAAAGGUGUCACUUGAAGAGACACUUUUCACAAUUCCACAAAUUCUAAUAUAUACUAAAUGACACAUUCUACAAUUCCAAAAAAAUGGAUUUAUAUUAAAAGGUCACCAUUGAUAGAGGCUACGUUGUGGAAAGUGUUUCUUCAAGAGACACUUUUAGUAUAAACCCAAUUUGUUUUAAAAUUGUGGAAGGUGUCUCUGUCAAGAGACACCUUUCACAAAUCCCAAAAAAUAGAAUUAUACUGAAGGUGUUUCUUGAAGAGACACCUUCCAUAAUUUUAAAAACAACUGGGUUUAUACUGAAAGUGUCUCUUCAAGAUACACUUUUCACAAUUUUCACAAUAGAAAAUUUCGAAUUUAUGUUAAAGAGAGACAUCUUUUACUUUAAAAUCAUUUCCACAAUUUUUAAUACAUAUUGGAUUUUGUGGAAUUAUGGAAAGUGUCUUUUCAAGAAACACCUUUAAUAUAAAUCCAAUUUUUUUGAAUUGUAGAAGGUGUCUCUUUAAGAGACACCUUUAGUAUAUAUUGAAAUUUAUGGAAUUGUGGAAAAUGUCUCUUCAAGUGACACCUUUUGUAUAAAUUAAAAUUUUUAGGAAUUGUAAAAGGUAUCUCUUCAAGAAAUAUCUUUAAUUUUAAAAUUAAAUUCAUGAGACAUUCAAAUUUAUCAAAUUGUGGAAGGUGUCUCUUCAAGAGACACCUUUAAUGCAUAUUAGAUUUUUUGUCAUGUGAAAAGUAUCUUUUCAAGAGACAUCUUUGAUAUAAAUCCAAUUUUCUAGAAUUGUACAAUUAGUCUCUUCAAAAGACACCUUUAUCUUAAAUUCAAUUCUUUUAAAUAUGUAUCAUAAUUUUGAAAAUUGUAGAAGGUAUUUCUUCAAAAGACAUCUUCUAUGUGGCCAAAACUACCGUAGAUCUAUCAAUAUUUUUUCAACUAUUUUUUUUUAAUAAUUAUUUUUAAAAAUUGCUGCAAAAUUUAAAAAAGCCCAGAAAAAUGGGCAAAUGAAACUUUGCUAUUGAGUGCCUCUAGAUUGCCUCUAGAUUGGAUACGGAAUUCCAAUAAUAUUUAAUAGAAGGAUGCUUGAUUGCAAAUGGAAUGCUGUUCCAAAAGCUGCCGAAUACUUUAUUUAAGAAGAUGCCCUUUGCUGUACAUGUGUUGUUUGCACCCAAUUAUUAUUAUUAUUUUUCAGACACAAUUCAGUGUAUUAUCACUGUUUAUUGAGUCAUUGAACGUGAUCAUAAUCUUGAUUUGGGUCCAGGCAUGAUUUCUUCGCAUAAAAUAUUAACGAGGCGAUUCGCUAGGAGCAUAUGAUAUCCUUAUCGCUAUCUUAAGGUGAGAAAGAAAACUUGUUUUAAUCAUGCUUAGAUUAAUUUGAGUGUGAUGUAGGAGGAUCAUAUCAUUUCAGUGUUUAUCCAAGAUAAAGGUGAUUUUAAGUAGCUUUAUCGAUAUUAUUGAAUCAAUUAAAUUACCAAUUGUGUGAUUAGAAAGAAUCAUAAACAAUGAGAGAAAAAAUAUAUGGGUUCUUAUUAUGAUUAAGUAUAACACGAAUAGAAUUUAAAUAGGUUUAUAAUCAAAGAAAAUAAAGAGAAAAGUAUUAAUUCAUCUAUAUCUCUAUAUAAUAAUAAUAAUAAUAAUAAUAAUAAUAUAUAACAAAUAAUUUUACAAUCGUAAAAAACAUCAAAAGUUUGCUAACCAAAAACUAAAAACAUGGAAGUGCAUGUGACUUGGUAAAUAGGUCUGUAAUUUAUGAGAAAAAAUAAACAAAAAAAAAUACAUUUUUGAAAAUGAUAAUGAGUAAAGUUUCAAUUAAUUUGAAUAUAUUUGGUCCUUUCAUAAUGAUAAAGUUGUGUGUAAUAAUCAAAAUAACACUUUUAUCGUCACAACACAUAGGAGUGAAACAAAAAAGAAAAAUACUCAUAUUAGCCAAGGAGUAAGAUAAGAAAAAGAAAUAUUCACCUCAAGUGGUUAACAUAAGAGUGCAACAAGAAAGAAAAACACUCAUAUAAACAAAUAAUCAGUGUAACCAAACCACUUCAUUGGUGGUAGACAUCAUAUCAUGAUACUUAGCUUGUAUGGAAAAUCAAGAAAUGAUAGUCAAUUUUUUGCUCUUCCAAGAAAUAAGAGAAUCACCCUAAAAUAUAUAAAAUUUAGUGAUAGACUUGCAAUCUUUGGGAUCACUAGCCUAGUCAACAUCAACAUAUGCAUGCAAUUCUAAAAAGGGAGUGGAUAGAAGUAAAAGAUUUUAAAAUAAAUCACCCUGGAGAUACCAUUGAAUAAGAAGAACAACAACCUAAUGAAUUGUAGUAAGAUAAGCAAUUUGACUAAUAAUGUUAACAACAUAAGCAAUGUUUAUAUAUGUAAUAGUAAGAUAAACUAAGUUGCCAACAAUAGUACGUUAUAAAGUAAGGCUUGACAAGGGGUCGGUUACUACUAAAAGAAGAAUACCAAACAUUAACCUUAAAGAGGAGUAUCAAUAGUCUUAGUAUUAGUAAGUUGAGCAUGAUAUAGACUAUAUACUUAGAUUGUGAGAUAAGAUAACCUUUCAAAAAAGAAGCUACCCCAAUAUCCAAAAUGUAUCGUAAAGAAUGCAAAUCCUUCAUUUCAAAAAUUAACAAUUAGCUCAAUUCAGAGACCUUGUUUACUACCCCUAUGCAACCUUGCAUGAUUACCAAAGCGCCUUUAUGUAUAAGAGUGUACCUAAAAUCAAUCUAACUCUCAUAAACUAUGUCAUCAUGGUAUAUGAGCUUAGAGGAGGGACCAUUAAUGGGACCCAUAGAAUUUUGAGGGAAUAUUGACUCAUUCAGAAUUCAAUUCUAAAAUUAAUUCAAUAUUCCACUAAAAAAAUCAACUACACUCUAAUACCCUAAGUAAAUAAAAAAGAUACGAAGUUCAAGUUUGUGACUUACUAUCCACUGAAUGCAAACUCUUUAUGAAUUGGUGUUCAUAAUCCAACAAGGGAGUGUUAUCACCUAUCAAGAUUACCUUUCUAAUCCUUGAGUUACAAAUCCCACUUAUUUUGUGAUCAAAUGACAUACUCUAGUUCAUAAAGUGCGUAUGUCAAAUUCACUUAAGGAAUUAUUACAACGCCACAAAUUUCAUGAUCACAUGUCCUUUGGAUUACCUAAGAGGACAUAUUAUCUCAAUUUCAUGAGAUAUCAUGUUACCUCUAUUGAGAAUACUUGUUGCCUCCAUUGAGAAUACAUGUUGUCACUAGCCUCCAUCAAUAAUGAGGGGAUAUUAACCACUUUAAGAUUUCAUUCAUAGGUCAAAGUCUCCUAUUGAUUUUGGCAUAGACUCAAUAUCCUCUUAGAGUUGAGAAUCCAUACAAUAUAGUUGUUAGCAACUUAGAUCUAAGCAUCCGAAGUAAUACUAUUUUUUUUUUAUAAUGACCUUUUAGGGUUAAAGUAUUAGGAUAUGAUAAGUUGUAUUUGGCUGUAUCUGAAAUAAUAUAAUGUGAAUAUGCACAUUUGCUCUUACCUGGACGCAUACUUUAGAUCCUCCUGGUGCUUUGCUUGCACCAUAUUGUAAUCUAAUUUUGCAAACUCAAGCAAGAUGGGGUUCAUGUCCUGUGUUCUCUCAAAUGCAUCUAUGGACCACCUUGCCUCUAACUUUAGCAUUCUCCAAUGCAGUGGAAGCUCCAAAGCAUGGCUCACCAGUAUGGCAAGAUUUUCGUCUAUAUUUUGCUGUAGACAUGCUUCAAGAUGUUUUUUUGUGAAGUCCCUAGCUUCUUCUAAGAUACUUUCACCUUCUAUGGGAAGGUAGGAAGCUUCAUACAAACACAGAAUUCCCUGGAUAUCUUCAGAAAGGCAUGCCUUAAAGCCCCCCAUCUCAUCCUUGAAACUACUAAAAACAUCUGCAAUAAAAAAUGCUCAUUUUUUAGCUGUUAUAGAGACAAAGUCAAAUAAAGACCUUUACUGCUAGCAAAGAAUUAGUUAAGAUCUCUAAUAUGCCUUAGGAUGCAGUACUUCAUCUUUCUGUACCAAAAAUGAAGAUAUUACUGAUAUACCUUGAGGAAUGCUAUACCCAUUUUGUCUUAGAAUUCUAAAUUCAAGAGCUGUGGCAUGCAAAUUCUCUUUCUUCCACUUGUCAUCAAUGUUAUGAUUGCAGUAUAUGCUGUUCAACAGUCUCUUGAUUUCAUCUUCGAACUGGUAAGAUAUUCCAAGUCUUUGCAAGAGAUCGAUCAGCUCAAGUUGAUCCAAAGGCUGCUCCACCUUUCCCAGCAUCAUUUUCACCUCCCUCUUUAGUUGAUCGAAUCUUCCUAUGCAUGUUUCUCCCUGCACAUAUAACAAUAUAUUCAUAUGCAACAUCAAGCUAAAAAACGAUUAAAACACAUUGCUAAGAAUAAUGAAUAGCUACCCUAUAAUCACUUGUUAGUGACUGGACAUAGUCGUAGUCCCAAAUGGGGGCUUGAUAAUUUGCAGUUCGCCUAUUAGCAGUUUUAUAAGAAGCUCUGUUGACAACUAUGCUUUGUACCGGAUGAGCAGCCUUGCUACUAAAGGAUUUUCCCAGCCAAAAAUCCCUUCUAGGUGGCAGUAUAGUUUUCCUGAGAACAGGGGCUUGAAGAAAGCAUGAAAACAGCCAUUGAGGAGAACUUAGCAAGAGCAAGCUGUAGAUGAUUGUUUGGGUUAUACUGGAUUCCAUGGAAUACUGCAGAAGCGGAAUUCCAAUAAUAUUUUAAUAGAAAGAUGCUUGAUGGCACAUGUAAUACUGUUUCAAAAGCUGCUUUAGUGAAAGCCAUGCCAGGUACAUACCUUAAGAAGAUUUUAUAUUGGGAGCAUGCUACCACACAAUUAAGUGUAAUAUCAUUAUUUAUUGAGUUAUUCAACGUGAUCAAAAUAUGGAUAGGGUCUAGGUAUGAUUACUUAACAUGAAAUAUUGGUAAGGCGAUUCACUAUGACUAUAUGUUAUCCCUAUCGCUACCUUAAGAAAAGAGAACUUGUUCUAAUCAUGCUUAGGUUAAUUUGAGUGUGAUAUUAGAGGAGGAUUAGAUCAUUUCAGUGUAUCUCCAAGAUAAAGGUGACUUUAAGUAGGUUUAUUGAUAUUAUUGAAUUAAUUAAAUUAUCAAUUGUGAGAAUAUUAGAAAGAAUCACAAACAAAGGGAGAAAAAAAAAUCUAGGGUUCUUAUUAUGAUUACUUGAAAAAUAAGUAUAACACAAAUUGGAUUUAAAUAGGUUUACAAUCAAAGAAAAUAAAAAGGAAAAUAUUAAUUCAUCCAUACUCUUAAAAAGAAAGAUAAUAAUUUUAAUAUAGAAAAUAAAUAACUCUAACAUCUCUAUGCGAACUUAUGAUGCAAUUGGAAAAAGCUUCAAGAAUUUGUCAUACUCUCAAACCUUCAUAUUUCAUAAGAAUAAACAUAUGUCAAGUUCAAAUUCUCAUAAAACUUGACUUGAAAAAUUAUCUUUUUCUUGUUCAUAGCUUCAUUCCUUUUGCAAUUACAUCUAUCCUUGUGCCAAUAAGUACUUUUAGGUGCAAAUGGAGUCUUAAUCAUCUUGUUACUCUUAACCUAAAAUGCUAUACUUUAUUUCAAGAGUUGGACUUAAAUGAAUAGUAUUUACUGCUCUUACUUCUAAUUCUUUUCAUCCAUAUAGCUCUCUAUUUUUUUUUUUGCCUUAUAAUGCUUUGAGAAGUCCUUAUUGCUCCAAAAUACCUUUUAUAGUACUUUAUCAUAUACUAAAAUGUUUUUUUCUAUUAAAGGGCUCAAUAUCAUAUUUUAAUGAAUUUUUGUAAUUAAAACCUCAAGGCAUAAUUUAAACUCUUCUAAAUAUCCACUAGAAUAAACAAUUUUAGGUCAUUUUGAAAAAUAAAAAAUUAGAAGUUUAUACUAUUUUUCCAAUUAAAAAAAUUAAGAAAUUAAUGUCAACGAUAAAACUCACAUUUAAUUCACAAAUCCAUAAAUCUAAAUAAAGUUUAAAUAGAAACAAAGGUUGAAUUAAAAAAAUCUUCUAAUAUUUUCUUAGCAGUCAACUAUAAUUGGAAAUUCUAAUUAUUAUCGAAUUACCAAUUUUCUAACUAAUAUUGUGAAGUAUCUAGAAAUAAGUUUUACUAUUCUUUUUUUUUUCUUUUUCAAUUGAUUAGUUUUCAAAUUAAAUUAAAAAAAAAUAUGAUGAUUAAUUUUAUAUGUAUUUUUAACAUGAAAAAAAUAUUAUUAUACAUUCAGAAACGAAUAAAGACAAACUAUUUAAGACUUAAUAAUAUUCACUCAUUAAUAAAUAAAUAAAAACUAAUGAUACAAAUACUCAAUGAUAUUCAACUCUUUUUAGAUUUAAGUGAAACUCAAGUUUAUUCAGAUUUUAAAGAAAAAAAAAAACACUACCUAAUCCUAUGAGAGGUGAAUGCAUUUAAGUGGGAUUUUAAUCUAUUUGAGCAUUGCAAAAUAAGUUUACUAGUUUUAAUUAAAUUGAAAUUGAUUAAGCCAAUGAUAGACAUGGGAUUUUCACAGUCCCAACGAAGUCACCAAUUUAUGGACCUACACUUUUCACGUGUUAAAUCUGGUUUCUACUUUAAUUAAGUCUAAAAAAUUGAGGUGGGGUCUAUGCAUUAGUAUGAAGAGUUUAGCACUUAAUUUGCAUUAAGUGUCUAUAACACACCUCCACAUCAUAGUUUUAAUUUUGAGGAUUUGGGUUUGUUUUUAGGCUUUAGGCUUUAAUUGGAUUCUCCAUUUGAGUUUAGGCCUGAGUUUGGGUUCAUGUGCUCUACUCCUUGGGUUGUAAUUUGCCUCACUUGGGUUUGGACCUUUAGACUAUUGCAUUUGAGCUUCUAUUAUUGAUACUGGGCUCAUUGGAUUGGACUUGGACAUUGAUAUCCUUUUGGGCCAACUUUUAUUUGAUUUUUGGGCCUAUUUUAUUUUUUCUCUUGGGUCUAGAGUAUUGAUUGUUUGAUUUGGGCUUCUGUUUUUGAUUUGUUAGGGCUUACAUACGACUGACUUUGGCUGUGGUUUUACUUUGUACGUGGGCCGUCUGUGGACUGAGAUUUGCGGUAGAAAAAAAGGUUGGAAGCUAUAAAAGGGCAAAAAAAAAAAACCAUAGGGCACAAGGGGUGGGCCCAUGUAUUUUUCUACUUUUUUUAAAUCAAAGCCAUAAAAAUACUAUUUAAGAUAAAAUUACAAAAUCUUUUUAAAUAAAAGGGUAAAAUCCUUUUUCUUUAAUAAAGUUGUAUAACCUUUGAAUGAAAAUAGGAAGCCCUUUUUCAAAAAUAAUAUUUUUUAUAAAAGUAAAAUAUAUAUAUAUAUUCUUAAAAAUAAUAAUAAAAUUCAGAUUCUCUUUUCAACAAAAAUAGGGAUAAAAUCUCUCUCUUUUUAAAAUGUUUUCUUUAUAUAAUUUUGAAAUUCUUUUUCUUAAAAAAAUAAAUUUAUAAUUUUUUUUUAAAUUAAAUAAUUUGUAUCAAUUGUAGAGCUUUUUUUGAUAAAAUUGAAGAACUUUCUUGAAAUAAAAUAAAGUUAAAAUCAUUUUGUAAUAUAACUUGUCUAAUAAAAUUAAAUAAAAAUCACUUUUCUAAAAUUGGUAUGCAAUCAAGUACAACCAUACAAUCGACCAAAUUUUAGAAGACUUUUUAUGGCGAUGGAAAAGAAACCUAAUAAUAAAACUCUUUUUGAAUAUUUUAUUCUAUGAAAAGAUAGUUAUGACCCCAUCAAUACAAUAUGCUUUGAGACUCCUAUCUAAAGGCCGACAAGCUGGGCAUACUAGCAUUAUUGCAAAUUUGACAUAAUACUAUUGCUUAAUCUUACAGCAAACAUGGGAGCACAUGACCACAAAUUCUAUAUAUAGCUGCUGGCAAUGUGAUCCAGCUUGUCCCACUCCUAUGGCUCUUCUGACGCUUUCUUCAAACCCUUUUUUCACUUUUACAAGACUGCAACCUGCAAGCCGCUUCUGCCGCGGAAAAUCGCAGGGUGUUUGCAUUUCUGGUCCAGUCCAAUGCACGGGUGGGGCUAAAACUAGUAGCCAAACUGCUGUGAUUGUGAGGCGAACCGCAAGCUACCAACCUUCAAUUUGGGACCAUGAU